rnacentral:lncRNA from 1 species
AGUAGGGAAGCGCAGCACAUGCAUGCAUGCAUGCAUGUCCCUUCCGUCGAUCUACUGAAGUCAGUGCUGUCUCUGUCUACUAGAAAUGUUCGGUGUGUGUUGAUCUAUCUUAUAUUACUAGUGUACUACUCCAGAUCUGUUGAUCUGCCGCUAGCUAGUUCCUUCUGUCGAUCCUACCGAAGUUCCAUGUAAUGCCCAAGAAGAUGCUGUGUGUGUCAAGUUAUCUUAGUGUGCUCUGUUGAUUUGCAUGUCUCUUAAUUAUGAUCUGUGAUCUAGUAUAUCCUACAACGUCAGGUUGAAGAUGGAUCUAGCAUUUGUGUGCAGCACAUUUGAGGCUGAGCAUCCAGUGUUUUUUCCGGUUCUUUCUUGUGUGACAUUGCGCUGUAAGCAUUAAUUUGCCCGUUUUUCUGUCUGGGUUCUUAGGAGUGUGUGGGCCAGAUGAUCUGUCUCCUUUACGAAAAAGAAACAACUCGUCUUGAUUUCUCGCCUCCAUCUUCUUUUGUUCCUCUCUUUACUGCAGGACAUGUCGUGCUCAUCAGCUUCUCCUCCCUGGAGUAGUGGUUCUAGUUUGUUAACAAUCUCUUCAUAGUUUUGGACAGAUGAGAAAGCAAGGAUUAAUUUCUUUUCUUUAUUAACAGAUCUUUGUAAUGGUUGACAGUUGACACUCGGUUAGCAUGCAAACGUUUCCGAAACUCGGUUAGAAUGUUUGCAUCACAAUAUUGCCGAUGUUUCUUCUCUGAAAAGGAGCGAUGAAGAAAGAUGAAAAGGAUGAAUACACCGUAGUCACUGGCUACUAGCACCAUGCCACUUGCCUGUUUUGGUGACAUUAAAAUAUGUUUCUUAAUUCUAAAAUCAGUGCUUCUUUUCUGAAUGUAGACUUGAGGAUUGUAGCCGUAUAUUUUUCCUGCUCAGUCAUGCACUCAGUUUCCAACAAAGGAUUUGAUCCUGUGUAUUAUUGCUCUAAUUGUUAACUUCGAAAAAUGUAUCAGAUCCAUUGAGCCUCAACCACAAACAAAACAUGAACAAGACCGAAAGGCCAUAGAUGUUUAGUGCAUCAGCAUUGACUAGAUUGCUGAUGCUAGUGCAAGUGUGAGACUGUUAGAACUAUGCCCUGGAGGCAAUAAUAAAAGUUGAUAUUGUUUUAUGGGACAUUUACAUUUGUGCCCAUAACUGGAACCAACUACUCAUAUUUGCCCCUAAUUUCGAAGCAUACCCAAAUCUAUCCCUCUGUCGUUAGUUGCCCUUAUAGAACUGCCCUUUUGCGUCGUUACCGUCCGAUCAAAGGGCUUUGACCAUCUCGAUAAAAUUAGCAGAAAAAUCUGAAAUUUUGUGGGAUCAAAGAUAGUUAGGUGCUUGUCAAUUUUCUUGAUGUUUAGACAUACCAGGAGCAUGUGGCAAUGGAAAACAAUAAAUCUGUACGACUGUGAAUAGUAAAUUCAAAGAAAAUAGCAAGAAAAUUCAAAAAGUACGAAAUUUUUUGGCAUCCAAGAUGCUCGGAUGCGCAAGGUGUGUGCAAUUUUUUUUAUCAAAUGACAUGCAAGGAGCUCUAGCAAAAAAACAAAAUAGUGUAUUUGUUCAAAGUUUUUUCCGAGCCAGAUUUUGUUUUUUUCGCGCGCUCCUACAAUGUCCAAGCACAACAAAAUUUUGCACACACCUUGUGCACCCGAGCAUCUUGGAUGCCAAAAAAAUUCAUACUUUUUUGAAUUUUCUUGCUACCUUUUGAAUUUACUGUUCACAGGCGUACUGAUUUACUGUUUUUCCUUCGCCAUGAGCUCCUAGAGUGUCCAAACAACAUGAAAAUUUGCACGCACCUUGCGCACUUGAGUACCUUCAAUCCCACAAAAUUUCAGAUUUUUUUGCUAUUUUUUCGAGACGGUCAAAGCCCUUUGCCCGGACAUUAAGGGCGCGGAAGGGCAUUUCUAUGAGGGCAACUAAUGGCAGAGGGACAAAUUUGGGCAUGCUUCGAAAUUAGGGGCAAAUCUGACUAGUGGAUUCCAGUUAGGGGCAAAAAUGUAAAUGUCCCUUGUUUUAUUUGCAUGUUCGUAAUUAAGUUUAUAUUUCAAUGCUAGAAUUGCAUUGGUUUUUGAAAGUGAGAUUUAGAGGAAAACCAAAUUUCAUGUUUAGAGAUAUAAACGCGAAACAGAGUUAGACCUCUGGACUUGCUCAUGUAUUGUUGAUGGUUCUGCUUUCAUGGCCAUGUGCAUAGUUAACGUAACGAGGAUGAAAAAAAUGAUCAGAGCAUGUUGUUAGGGUAAUAAUGAUGUUGGAUAGAUCCAUCGUAUUGUAUAACGCGAGUUCGUGUUGUCAAUAUGUUGUAUGUUACUCUAUAACUGGGUAAUUAUAAAGUUAACUUUUGGUAACGCAAGGAAGUAUGUCGUGGUACUAGAUAUGUGAAGACUUAAACUUGCCCCUCCGGCGAUCGAUAUAUACACUCUCAGACCACAUGGUAUUACACUGUCUGGCAUCUCUUGACCAUGUAUUGUGACUAAGGAAUUAGUCAUGUGCAUCCCGAAAUACGAUUACAAGGAAAGAGUACAAACCUGUAAUGAGGAUAACUACGUAUAGUGAUCAAGUAGUUGUCACAACGAUACAAUCAAAGUCUCCCCUCAUGUUUGGUAACGUAUGGAGAGGGAAAGGCAAUUGCAUGCGAUAAAAAAAGUUUUUUUUAUAAAGAUCUACAAUGUUAUGUGGGGAUUAUUGUGCGUGUCCAGAUCUCACUAAUAAUUAUUGACUAGAAGGUGUUACAAACUUGUCCAUGUAGUCUUGAACCUAUAGGGUCACACGCUUAAUGAUUAGCAACAUAUAGGAGUAAUAUGUGAUAAUCAAGAACAAGAUAGAAGGGGUCCAAAAGUAUUUUGAUAAUAUCAAAAUUGUUCCCGGAGGUCCCGAGAGCGUCCCAGUGAUAUCAUGUAGUGUCUCAGAAUGUUCUGUAAGGUGGCGAAAGCUCCAAUAUGUUCCAAAAACCUUUUGAAAAUUCUGGAAGGAUCCUAAUGCCACCUACCCCCUGCCUUGGGGGCAAGGCGGCCCAUAGGGCCCAAGUCGGCCAACCCCCCUAUUUCUUGGGGGGGCAAACCAACAAAAGGGGUGUGCUCCUACAAGGACUCCACCUCCAUAGGUCGGAUGAAACCCUCACCCCUCCACCUAUAUAUAGGUGUGGGCGCAUCAAGAGAAGUUUGGUACACGCACUCACCCCUAUGGACACAUGUACGAACACCCUACACAUAUAAGCAGCUUCAAGAUAUUGAGGGAAUAACAUCUUGAGAUUAAUGCGAGCAUUAGUGUCAAGAACAUCACUUGAACCCUUGUGGGCUGACUUCACCACCAGGAACCUAACCAUCUAAGCUAUGUCCAUUAUUACCUAUAGUAUUGUCACAAAUAAGACAUCACUGAUGAAGUACCACAACAUGAACCUGAUGCGGCGAUACAUUGCUGUGCAAUCCACAAACUCUUGUCGUUUCAGUCCUGUCACACUGUCCUGAUUGUUCCACAAACCAACACAAAUCAGAGAAUAAACUCUGGAAAUCAGAAACACGAGUGCCAUAACCAAAAAAAAAUCACCCGAGCAAUAUUUAGCAAAUCCCUUCGGUACCAUUAUUUAGAUUGGAGCUUUUCAACUCCAUUUUGAGAUUGACCACAUUUAAAUUUGGACUUAUCAGGUGAUUAACUUUGUUUUUUUUUUGCUUGAGAAACACAAUGCAGACAUAGACACUCACAUAUAUGCAUGUACAAUUAUAACCCUAUAAAGACACACACCACUGGCACUUGGGCACAUAGGUGUCAAACAUGUAGUUUGAUCCAUGGUGUGCUAGGGGUACAACCAUCCGCCUAAUCAUCCAACCACAAAAUGAUUCUCGGUAUUGGCAUAAUUAUGGGUGGGUUUGCAAACUGAAAAAAAAAAGCAUGCUCUACCUUUGUCUAAUCAAACAGCUCGCCAGCCAAAUAAAUCUGGAAUGGAGGGAUAACAACGGUCGAUCCUAUCCAUCUUUAUCCAUGAGGUUUCAUCCUGAUGAUGAUAUAGAGCAUGUGGGUAAUCUCAAAAAAAAAUCUAUAGCAUGUGAGAUUUUAUCUUUAAUGUCCUGCUACCAAAGAUUUGCCAUCGUGGAUAAUUUCCUAAUUAGCAUCCUUAUAUUAGCCACCUUUGGAAUCCAAUAAUCUUAUUCUAAAUUUGGGAGCCUGUCUUAAAACUCAUCCUUAUCUUUGAGGAGUCAUCCGGAUGAUAUCAUGAUUUGACCACGAUUUUAUAUGGCACGUUGUUAAUGCUCCAAUUGAAUUCCUUCCAUCUGCGUUAUUCGGGAAACCUGCUGCUCAGGACUACAAAUAGGAGGGAGCGAGCAAGACAUCCAUACCACACUCGUUUCUCGCAUCACAAGGUCGUUGGCCCCGUAGCACAAGCGAGUUCAUCACAAAACCAGCUGCAAAGGCUCGACGGCGAUGGCUUCCAAGAUGGUCGGCGCCCUCUUGCUGGUCCUCCUGCUGGCGCUCAACCAGAGCGACGCCCAGGUGUUGCCGACCCCCUGCUGCAACCUCAAGUGCUGUGGGUACGAUUGCUGCGGGCCCCCGGUCACAGCCACGGCACCCAUUUCGCCAUUCUCCGCCGCCCCCGAAGCAGGACCGGCCGGCCCGGUUUCGCAGCGCGUGCUCCGCAAGGUCUUCCCCGGAAACUAGCGAUGUUCAGAUGCAUGUAGCGAUGCCCCCCGUGACGUAUGAUUCCAUUGCAAGUGUGCUACUGGCACCUAGCUAGUUUCGCUGGUAUUACGUAUUAUUUUUAGCUUGUAUUCCUGAUUUGUUCUGUUCCAUCGAAACAGCAAUAUAGGAGUUUAUAUCCUGCAGUAGCAUUCCAAUUCUACAGCUAUAAUGUGUGUGCAAUGAUAAACCAUGUUCGAAACACAAAUAAUCCACCCAUCCUUCAGAAGAACAGAACGCAUAAUCCUCCAAUUAAAUCUGCCGAACCUGAAUCAGCUAUAGCUGCUCUAGUCUGGAUCAGUCCUUCAUCUCGGCUGCCUUCUCGUCUCCCAGAACAAUAUUGUUUCCUAAAAAGUAGUCAUACAUGUUCCCUUUAGGUGGACAAAAUUCAUAACCGGUUUAGCAACUGCGCCUACUAAAAAUAGCUUAGGAUAGGUUUUUACCCCUUUUUCUUGAAAAAAAUAUAUUUUUGAAUGUGGCCUCAGUGCUCAUACAACCAUAAGGCGUUUGAAUGUGGUCAAUCCCAAGGUUUCCCCAAAAAAGUUUUUGUCGAAGUGUGCAUGCGAGGUUAUAGAUUGUUUUGUCCCUAAUGUGAUUUUGUUGAUGUGUUGAUUUCCAAUCUGGAUCUACAUCGGUACGAAACAAAGGCGAAUUGUGAGCUAUUGAUUAAGGUUGCAUACUAAAUAACACUUAAAAAUGUUUCACAGCUAACCAACAUCAUUUGAAAAUUCUACACAUUUUUCUAAUCAACUUUUCAUAUAUAACAUGUCAAAAUUGAAGUUACGGUUCUUAAGUUAUUGAUACUUUUAAAAAGUAUUUGAAUCUGCCCCCAAAAUAUAAUGUUAUUUUCUAGAUGGACUAAGGGUUUAUUAAAUGAAAUAUCAGGGAGUUUUAUACAAAAAGUAAAACAUUUUCUGGUGUCACUUAAAACAGGAUUGUGGGUUUACCAUUUUCAUUGCAAAAAGCUUUUUCUUUGCGGGAUGAUAGCCAUGCACGUUCCCUUUAGAUGGCCCAAAUUUAUGGCCGGUUUAGGAACUACGCCUACUAAAAAUAGCUUAGGAUGGGUUUUAACCUUUUUUUUCUUGAAAAAAAAUAUGUUUUUGGUUCCUCAAAUUUGCCGAAAUUAUAGAUCUGGUCCGUCAAAAAAUGUAGAAACAAAACAUAUAAUUUAAAAAAGUUAAUCAUAUACUCCCUCCGUCCCAAAAUUGUUACAUCCGUAUCUAGACAAAUCUAAGACAAGAACUUUGGGACGGAGGGAGUAUAUAAGAAAGGUCAAAACUAUAUGUAAAAUGUUUUAGAUGUAUACUAAAAAUGUACAAUAUAUGAAAACAAUAGUUAUCAAAACAUAUAUCUGAAAAAAUGGUAAUCAUUUAUUUGAAAAAAUGUUAAACAUAUAUUAAAAAAUGUUUUACAUAUAACUAAAAUGUUUGAUGUAUAAAAAAUAUAUAAUAUGUACAAAAAUGUAGGCAUGUGUUUAAAAAAUAAAAAUAAUAAGAAAGAAACAAAGAAAACAGAAAAGGAAAACAAGAAAAUCGGAGAAAAAGUGCAAAAAAGAAAAGGGAGACAAGAAAAAAUUUGGGAAAAAAUGGAAAGGAACAAAGCAAAGAAAACGAAGAAACAAAUCAGUGAAAAUCGAGAAAGAAACAAAUAAAAUGGUAAACCGCAAAGUAAAAAAGAACAACAAAGAAAACCGACAAAGAAACAAAUAAAACUGGAGUAAAACAAAGAUAAAAAGUUGAAACAGUGAAAACCGAUGCAAAAGCAGUGAAAAACAACCAAAAACAAAAGCAAAGAAAAACAGUAAGGAAACAACAGAUAAACCGAGAAAACCAGUAAAGAAAACAAGAAACCAAAGCAGGGAAAAAUCGAAACAAAACAACAGCGACCAAACGAAACGCAUGACCGGGAAAACAGCAACGCCCGAAUGAAUGUACUUAGCCGACGCAUACGCGUGGGUGUUGUGGGCGAGGGGAGCUACCAUCUCGCUAUAAGUGAGAUAUAGCUUGUGCGGAAUUUUCUUACUAAACACUAGUAUUCCUCCCGACGCGUUGCGACCCUAUUCGCUGUCCAAUAGGCUUUGUAAAUAAUUAUUCUGGUUAUAAAAGCAUACGGGAAAUAGAGGAUGCUCCUUCAUCUCAAUAAAAGUGCUCAUAUGGCAGGCCCACGUGCCAAAGUGAAUUUUUGAAAUAUUCUUCUUUAUUUGAUUAAGUAGAGGGAAUCUACUGUUAUCACCCUUUGCAUGCAUGAAUUCUCUUGUGGAUAGAGUCGGGCGCACCAUAAGACUAAAAUGGGCACACGCCCCAAACAUUCAUGAUGAAAUUUGAAUGGUAGAAAACCAAAGUACUCCUUCCUUUUUAUUUACUCUGCAUAUUAGGUUUAACUAAAGUCAAACUUAAGUUUGACCAACUUUACAAAAAAAUAUACUUUUACCUUAAUGAAAAUAUAUGAUGUGAAAGUACAUUCAAUAGUGAAUCUAAUGGUAUUAAUCUGUUAUUGUAUAUGUUAAUAUUUUUUGGCCGUUUUUUCCUUACUGCUUUUCUUUGCUCGAAACUUCUAUUGCACACUGGCACUUGAUUUGUUUAUAAACUUUGUCAAAGUUUAUUAGCUUUGGUCCAUAUUAGCUUUUGUUCAACCCAGCUCGAAACUUCACUUGAACACCGGCACUUGCUUAAUUUUGCCUGCUAUGAAGUUAGAUACUGAACUAUGGCAGGAUAUUUGCACAGUUCUGUGGUAUUGAGUCUAUGAGAUUUUGCAGAUGGUGCGAUAUGGCUUCAAUCUGAACGUCCCUCCAUAUCCGUGAGAGUAGGGAAUCUCUAGCUGUGAACACUACCUGAAUCAUACCCUACGCCGCGGCAAAGGGCCUAAAACACUCGGCAAAGUCUUUGCCGAGAAUUGUUCUCGGCAAAGUCUUUGCCGAGAAUUGUUCUCGGCAAAGGCCACUCGAUGUCCCACGUCCAACGCCGAGUGGAUGCUUUGCCGAGAUCUCCUCUCGGCAAAGCUAACGAUUAGCAAACCAGCCACGUGUCCACCACCUGACUGGCGGGUCCCACUACCUAUGCCGAGCAUCAACUUUGAAGAUUAUACAAUUUCCACUUUACCACUAUUUAUAAAAAUGUAGUCAAUGUUAGAAAAGUUUGACUGUGUCAUUCUACAAAGUAUAUUCUUUCACUAUGGCGAAUAUAGGGGGAACUGCAGAAUCCUCAAGCAGGAUUUUCAUGGGAAAACCCCAGCUUUCCUCUGGUUCUGUCAUCCUCUCGAUUCCUGAUUGUGUGGGCAUGAUUCAUAACAAGAGCAUCCUUAUGUACUCCUCAAGGACGGGGAGCGUCUGCCCUUCGCCGUAGCCAAAGAGGACCCUCACCAUCCUCGCGAGGUUUAGCGAGAUCCGGGUCAUGCUGGGCGGGAAUGUCCUCCUGGAGAAGCACUCCCUGUUGAGCUCCCCCCACUCACUCUCGAUCAGCGCCAGCAUAUGCCCCUUCGCGUCGCCACCGGGGUUCUCUUUCAGGUACAACUCCUUGUAUGAUCCGUCCAGGCCAUCUUGCGCUUCGUCCUGCAUGGUGCAAGAAUGGUGAUCAUGUUAUGGUAUCUUAAACCAGUGGGGCUAAGAUUCAUUAGAAAUUCUAGGUUUCUAAUUAAGCAGGGGGGUAAUUUCAGCAGUUGGAAUCUGACCUUGGCACUGCCCAUGUCAUCCCAAAGUCUCAAGAUCUUUGACGGGCAGGAGAUUAUCGGAGGGAUACGGCCGGCCGUGAGGUUUGUAGCAUCCCUUGUUGGAUCAUGUCCUAGCAUGGAAAAGAGAUGCACAAGUGCAAGUGGUCCUCCUGUAGUGAUGACGCCGUUCGAUAGGUAGUCAUCUAGGGAAGGAACAUGAUUAGCAGACAACCAUUUCGCCUCAAGCAAAAAUGCAUCGAAAAGCAUGGCCCACUGCAAAAGAAAAAUGAAUUCACUAUUUUCAGUUGAUUAUUAUUUUCCUUUUUUUAAUAUAUUUAUACAUGAACUUAAAUAUUCUCAAAUAUUAUAUAUUGGAUAGAUACAUAUGUUGCUCGUCCAACAAACAAUUUAGUUGGUUAUCUAGACAAAUCAGGAAAUCUAAAAGAAUAAAGAUAUUCCAAGAGACAUACAUCUUUUUUGAGAUGAUCAAUAGGGUUCAGCCCAUGUUCUCUUUCAGCCAUAUCUGCGAUGUCAUUUGUGAUUGUAUAAAGAGAACUGUAGCAUGAUCUCAUGUAGCUUGGAAGUGAUGCAGCAGCUGCAAGAUCCCACCUGUAAGAAAUGCAUUUUCUAACAUGAAAUUUCGGUUACACAAUACUGACAGUUACUGUUGAUCAUAAACAGCGAGAUGAAUUUAUAGUAGCCAGAAAGGAAAAGCCUACGUUCUGAUUGCCUCGGUGAAGCGAGAAAGCUCCUCUUGUGUUGCAACAACAUCAAAGAUGUCAUCCACAAUACUGACAAUUGCAAUGAUUUUGGUUAUCUCAAUCCGGUAUCUGGAGAAGGAUUGCCCCUGGAGGAUAGUCAUGGGAAACAUGUACCAUUUAAGAAUUUGGUCACGCGUAGCUGGUAUUUCUUGAGCCAAUCCCAGGCCCAUCCACCAUCUGUCACAAUGACAUUUAGAAGUUAAAGAAGAAAUUUGUCAAUACCCCCAAAGAUAGGUAUAAAAUGGAGAAUGUUAUCUAAUGUGAAGAUGGUAAAUCAACUUGGAAGACAGAUUAGGUACUAAUUUUCAACUCAGUGGUCUUUGUGAUGGACCUGAGAAGAAACAAAUGCUCUAGCCACAUUCCUCUUCUGGGAGCUGCAGAUAAAACAUAAAGUUUGCAAGGAAUGAACUUAUAUAUGUACCUCUUAACCUCUUGCAUUUCCAUCUGAUGCUGCAACUUGUUAAGCUUGAAGUCUGCAAGUGCCAGCUCCUCCAUUGCAGUGUUCCGAGUGGGCAAGCUCUGGAGAUAGCUCAGGUGGUGUCUAGCCUUGUACUGCAUCAGGCUCACAUGGUAGGGAUGAUCCAGUGAAUGCCUCACAUAUCUUGCAAGGUUUAGGUCCAAGUGUUUAAUUGCAGAAGUGAGGUGUUUCCUUGAGAAGUCAUUUGCCUUGUAUAGUGAUGCUUCUCCCAUGUUCAAGUGUGAUAUGUCCUGCAAGCUGAGCAACCCUCUGAUGUCUUUGGUAUGAUCAACGUUGAAGUCCUCGUUUUCAUUGACAAACUUUUGAAGAACCUCAUCUACCACAUCAAGGAUAAAGGUUUUUAGGAAUAUAAACUGUGGUUGCAAUAACAGGGCGAAAAUAAAUUUUACUUUCAGACACACAAGGGGUUGAGACAAGGGGAUUCCAUGUCUCCUCUCCAAUUUAAUAUAGUGGCCGAUAUGUUGACCAUUCUUAUAGGCAGGGCCAAGCAAAACGGUCAAGUGGAUGGGCUAGUACCUUGUUUGGUCGAUGGGGGAGUCUCCAUUUUACAAUAUGCUUACAACACUAUCUGUUCAUGAAACAUGACAUUGCAAAAGCGCAAAAUAUGAAACUCAUAUUAUGUCUUCGAACAUUGUCUGGAUUAAAAAUAAAUUUUCACAAGAGCGAGUUGUUCUGCCUUGAAGGCCAAAGAAGAGCAAGACACAUAUAGACAAUUGUUUGGGUGUGAAUUAGUUUCUUUACCUUUCAGCUAUUUGUGCAUACUGAUUCAUCACCGUAAGAUAUCUAAUAAAGAAUGGAAGUGCAUUGAAGAUCGAAUUGAAAAAUAGCUUAGUUGCUGGAAGGGCAAGCUAAUGUCGUAUGGAGGUCGGCUAGUGUUGAUAAACUCAGUACUUACUAGUAUGCCGAUGUUCCUAUUAUCUUUCUUCGAGGUACCAAAAGGGGUGUGGAAGAGACUUGACUUCUUUAGAUCUCGAUUCUUCUGGCAGUCAGAUGAGGCCAAGAAGAAAUACCGUCUCGCACGAUGGGAUAUUCUAUGCCGACCCAAGGACCAGGGGGGUCUCGGUAUUGAAAACCUGGAAGUUAAGAAUAAAUGUCUUAUGAGUAAAUGGCUCUACAGGUUAGAGACAGAGCCGGAGGGUAUGUGGGCAUAGAUAUUACGCAAUAAAUAUCUACAAUCAAAAACGCUAGCCCAGGUCACCGUGAGACCAACUGACUCGCCAUUCUGGAAGGGAUUCGUGUGAACGAAAGAUUUGUUCUUUCGUAGGGUCAAAUUCGUGGUUGGCAAUGAGAUGUCAACAAGAUUUUGGGAGGAUACGUGGUUAGGGGAGACGCCACUAGCCAUACAGUACCCCACCCUAUAUAACAUUGUGCAACGUAAGGAGGAUUACAUAGGCACCAUACUUCAAUCGACUCCCUUGAAUAUUCAGUUCAGACGUGCGUUAGUUAGUGAGCGAUGGACUACCUGGAUGCACUUGGUCCGGAGAUUGAUAGAUGUUCAACUAUCCGACCAACCAGAUUCGAUGCACUGGAAGUUAGCCAGAAAUGGGGUGUUUACGGUGAAAUCUUUUUACAUGGAUCUGACUAAUUCUGGACCAAUCUUGAGAUCGUUACAUAUUUGGAAGGUUAAGGUUCCCUUGCGUAUUAAAAUAUUUAUGUGGUUCAUUCACAAACAAAUGAUCCUAACCAAAGAUAACUUAAUAAAGAGGCGGUGGGUAGGUAGUUCACGUUGUUGUUUUUGUGAUCAUGUUGAAACAAUACAACACUUAUUCAUAGAGUGCCCAUUCGCGAAAUUGCUUUGGAGAACGAUCCAUAUAGCCUUUAACAUCACUCCUCCAGUUGACAUUGAAUUGUUAGUUGGGACGUGGUUAGCUGGGGUGGAGCAUAUUACUGCGAUUGAUAUUCGGAUUGAAAUAUGUGCGCUUCUUUGGGCUAUAUGGAAUUGCAGGAAUGAUAUGAUUUUUAACAGACAACCUAAUCUAACUUUCUUGCAGGUCAUCUUCAGAGCUACUGUAUGGAUCCGUACGUGGUCCUUACUCACUCCUACGGACUUCAGGGAGCCUUUGGUUACUAGGUGCAACCAGUGGGAGAUGGUAGCACGGGCUAUAUUCAACCAGUUCAGAUGGCGGUUGCAUAACAAGAUAGGAGUCUAGGGAGCUUGUCCUUUACAUUGUCAUACCUGUUGUAAUAUUGAACAUUCGCUUCUUUUUUCCUUUUUCGCUCCGCUUGCGAGCUGUAAUACUUUUAUGACUUUGUGCUACUUCGAGACUUCUUAAUAAAAUGGCUGCAUGCAUCAUCCGAUGCGGAGGCCGGGGCCGAGCCUCCAUUUUCAAAAAAGGGCAAAAAUAAAUUUAAUUCGAUAUGUGGAUUAGUCACAACUAGCUAGAACAACUUCUGGACCCUGACAAAAAAAGCGUACUAUUCUGCAUGACAAAUUCAUGACCAAUGAAUCAAAAGCCCUCGAGAAGGUCGCAAAUCCUCAGAGUUCCCACAUCCUCUAGACCAGUCAUUCCUCUACGCAAGGUCAGUCACCACUCACCACGCACCACCACAGGAGAGUGCCAGCAAGCCAAGAUUUUAGGUGUGACAGCCAUUGCCGAGAAGGAACAUGCCCCACAUGGCAAAGUUUUUUAUCUUUUUAUAGUAAAUUAUGAUUUUGAACUAUCUUAUAAAUCUUGUACUGAAUUUGAAGACCAUGAACAGUAAAAAUGACUUGGGCCCAUGAACACCGUAAACAAAAUGAGGGAUCAUUUCUAUACUAUCGAAAAAUAUAUGAUAAGUGUACUAACCUGCUGAAAUAUCAUAUCCAUCUUCUCUCAGUAGCCUGAAGGAAAGUGUUGCAUCUAGUAGAUCAUCACUGUCAACAAGAUUCAAGCACGCAUCCAUGCCAUCAUUGAUCUCGUUUUGGAAAUAGUGGUCGAUGCAGAGGCGCUUGAGGUGAUCAAUAUCAGUCAUCACCUUCCUCUUUUCCUUAUGGUUUUGAUGCAGCAUUUCCUUAACACUCUUCAGGCCCUCCUGUUAUUCCAUGGAGAGAGAAAAAAAAUUAAAAUGCAAAAAUGGGAGAUAUGGGAGACUUUAUGUUUCACUUUGCGAGGCUAAUUCUUCUAUUCAUCAAAGGGGAAAAAACAGGCUACUUUCCUAUCUUCUCCAAGGCUUAUAGCAGCGCAGUUAGUCAGUUCUUUUCCGAGUAAUUCAGUUAGUCAGAAAUUUAAAUGGUUAGAAAAAAUAUAUCUAAUUCAAUAACAAGCCUUAAAGUCACAUUGGAGAACUGAUGGUGAUGUGAAUAAAUUUCUACCAAGAAUAAAAGCUCUCAGUUCAUCUUGGUAGUCCAGAUAAAUAGGGGGUGUCUGCUAAGUCCAGAUGAGACGUGCGGAGGCUGGUUAAGCCGGAGAAAUAGAAAAACUAGGGCGUUUGAGCGCCAGGGGUACGCGGCUAAGUUUUUUUUACCGGAGCUGGGAGCUACCUGUGGAGAAUCUACCAUUCACUUGGUUUCUCUGAGAUUCGUGCCAGCCUUUUGUGUAUAAAGUAAAAAUAAUUUGCUAUGCAAUACAGACAUUAGACAAAGGAAUACAUCUAUGCAUGUGAGAUGUGUGACAACUUUUGAUGUGACAGGACUGGGUGACUGAUGAAGAGGACGGCGCAUGGGUUCUCUGCCCCAAACAAAAUAGUUGCAUUUUAUUUCCUGGUCAUAUUUUGAAUGGUUAAUAACUAUGAACCAAAUUUCAGUAAUUGAAUUUUUUUUGUACAUUUGAAGUCAGGGUGAUAAGACCUUUAAAACAAGACCGGUCUUGAAUACAAUUUGGCUAGAUUGAAUUUUACUGUUUCAAUUAGUUUCACAUUGCAAAAAGUACGAUUUUAUUCAUUUCAAUAAACAGAGUUUACUCAUUCCAAAAAAAAUAUUUCACUACUUUGAAAAUACAGAUUUCACUCAUUUACAAAUUGAUUUCAUAUAUAUAUCAAUAAGCUGGUAUAUAAUUUUUCAGAAAUAUAAUAUUUCAAGAAACUAAUUUCAGAAAACAUAUUACGCUCACUCAAUUGAAAUACUAUAUUUCACUUGUUUCAAAAAAGUGAUUUCACUCAUUACAAAAGAUAGAUUUCACUCAUUUUAGUAGUUUCAGAAAACUACUACACUCACAAUAUACACACUGAAAUAAGCGGUUUCCCUGAUUUCACUCAUUUGAAAGUACAAUUUUUGCUUGUUUCAUUUGAAAAGAAGUGCUUGAAUUAUUUCACUCAUUUUAGAGGACCGAUUUCAGUCCUUAUAAAAGAUUGAUUUUCAAUCGUUUUGACUUAAAAUAUAUGUUUCAAUUCCUUGAAAUGAUUUAUAUCUAUGAACUUAUGAAUUUUAUUUUUUGGACUAAGUGAAAUCUAUAAAACGAGAUAUUUUUUUGAGAAUGUGAAACACCUUAUUUUUAAAUCUAGUUGAAAAAUAUUCAAUAUUGAACUUGUUCUGUAUAUCAUGUUGCAAGGAAUUUGAAUAUAUAUAAAAAAUUCAGUAAUGGAUUUUUGUGAAAGACAGUGACCAUCUAAAAUUGUAAGCAAAAAUAAAAAGAUGCAUUUGUUUGAAAGGGCAGAGAGAGGAAAGAAGUUGCAUGCAUGCGUACGGUAUGCUGACAGAAGUAGUACCUGUAGCUGACAUACUAGUGCAAAGUGGUGAAAAGAGGUGGGCCAGCCAUCUGACAUACAACAGUGUUAUACAAGAGGUGGGUUAUGAAAAUAAAAAUGCUAUACUAGAGGUGGGCCACAUAAAUGCACGAAACGCAAACAAGACGAACGAUGGAUGCAUGGUUUGCCGGUACCUCCAGGAACCGGUAAAAAGAGGUUUGCGCGGGGGUACAUCGCCCCAAAAAAUUUCUCUUGUCUCGUGCACUUAUUCUUCUACCUUCGUAUAGGGUUAGACCCAACAGCCCAAACUUCGCGUGCCCAUGGCCACGAGGAACGAGGACGGCCGCGCGUUGCUGAUGGCCAGGAGGGGGGACUCGAUAUGGAGGAGAGGGAGGGAGGACGAGGAGACCGCAUAAGGCGCUGGAUUUGAGAGAGGAGAGAUUUUGGGGAGAUGAGACGGGAGAAUGGAUUUGUGUGAUUUGGAAGAGUCGAGGAGAAAGUGAGGGGAGAACAAAGAAUAGAAACCAAGGGGGAGAUAUUUUCUUUUUCUUUUUUUUAAAUCAAGAUAUUCUCUUUCUACUGGUGAUAAGGGCAUCUUCAACGGUGAACGCUUGUUGAGGCUUUUACAUGAUAGGAAAUGUACGGGAAAUGAUUGGGAUCAGCCGACGGAUAACGACGCGUGUGAUCCACCGCCACUGUGGCCGUUAGAUCAGGUUUUAAUCAGAUGGCUAGAAGCAACGUAUUACCUAGACUAGUUUUUGCAACUAAAGUCGUUCUUGCAAUCUCCCCCGCCGCAAAAACUGUUGUGUUGUGGGAUCUGGAUCCCCUCGACAUUGGCCACCACCCGUGCACCUCGCAAGAUCCCCAUCAAGCCAACUCUGUCUCGUGCUGCUUCGACCGCCGUCAUCGACGUUCGCCACCGGCAGCAUGCCGACAAGGUCGCGGGCGUGACCGCAGCCGUUGCCGCCCACCUCCACCAUGAAUGUUGGACGUCCUGGUGCGCCCGAACUCAAGCUGCAUCCCGCCGCCCAGUGGGAGCACCAGCAUCUGUGUCCUUGGGGGGGAGUUACGUCCACCUUCGCCCCACCGUCCCGAAGGAGCACCAGCCUUUCCUUAGGUCGACAUGGUCGAUGCUCUCUACAACCAGUUUCAGCAAUAAGGUAUGUUGCAAAAAAAAACUGUAACAAGACCUAUGUUGCAAAAUAAAUAGAUUUCAACAAGACCUUUGUUCCAAAAAAAAAUGCAACAAGACAUCUGUUGCAAAAAAACUGUAACAAGACAUAUGUUGCAAAAAAUAAUCGGCAACUUGAGCUAUGUUACAAAAAUUUCCGUAACAUAACCCCAACACGACAUGUGUUGCAAUGGUAGAAGGUUAAUCUUGGGCGCUCCAGAUUUGACGGCUCGUAAGGCGGCAGAUCUUUUAAAAAGAUCCAUGGGCCGACUGUGUAGGGUGUCCAUCCCUCCAACGCCAAUAGCAAUCUAUAGAUGGCCCAUGAUUUAUGAAAAAAGAAAAAAAGAAAACAGAAGCGCUCGAUGCCUUGCGCGGCAUUGACGCAAGCGAGAUUCCCUGUCUAGGGUGGGAAUCGGGCAUAACUGCCGGGAAAUCAACCUUGGUGUCGAUCGUUAGCAUCCGCGUUGUAAAUGCCCUAGGAGGAUGGAUUUGACCCUAAAGAAAGAUGGAUUUGGAUUUGGUUCCAGAUGUUACAAAUUUCUGUUUGGAAAUUCGGGGCCGCUCCAAUAUCCGAAAUUUGAAAAGAGUUUCAGAAAACAUAAUUCAAAAGAAUAAAAUAUGACCAAAAUCCAGUAGAGUUUUUGAAAACCGUGCAUCUUUGGUAAAAUGAAUCAUGUUCAUUGGAAGGGUCAACUUUCCAAGGGGCGUGCUAUUUGGCGGGCGCCCGCCAAAUUCCAUACUCAGCGGCCAAUCAAGUUUAGAAGUGAAUUUUUUCUUCAAAAAAAGUUUAGAAGUGUUUUUUGUUUAUUAUUGAAAUAAUAAUUGACAGAAAUAAAAGUAUUUUGGUUGUUUUUCUGUGAGGAAAUUUUGGUUGGGCUUCAUAGAUUCGCUAGUAAAAUCCUUCCAAAUAACAACCGUGUAAGCGAUAGUCUGGUUGCAUACCCCUUCGCUCUUGUACGCCAGGGCACCCUAUGCGCCUCCGUCGAUCGAUCUCGUGGUCUUAGUUCCAAGGAAGCGCGGUGGAUCUCGGCAGUUGCCGGCGGGAGGGCUUUGUUUUCAGAUGGUUUUUUAGUUUUGUUAGGCUUUGUGUACUACUCGGAGAGGGGAGGCGACGGCUCUCAGAAGAUGGAAUAAGGUCCUCCCAGCCUAACCCUCAUCUGGGUGGUGUUUCUAGCAUCAUCGAAGGGCAUGUGAAGGUUUCUCUCUGGCGGAUCUCAUGGGAUUAAGUCGGUGUUUGUCUUCCUGGAUCCACGUGGAUACGAUCUUCAUUCGUUUGUGUUCAUGUGCCUGCAAGUUGGAUCCUUCUGAUCUACACAUCUCUUCAUCGGCGGCGGUUGUUGACCUAGUGCGCUGGUCCAGUGGGGCUUUAUCAUGACGACUUCCCGACUGUCUACUACAACAAGAUUUGUCUGCCUCCCAUGAGGGAGGGGCGAUGACGGCGGCAUGCCUUCGGCUUGUUCCAGUGCAUGUAGUCGUCGCUAGGUGGUCUACGAACCUGGGUGUACUUUUUACUUCUAGUACUAUGUACUACGUUAACAGUUCAUGAAUAGAUUGAAAGUUUUUCACGCAAGAAAACCGUGUAAAAAAACAAAGUAUUGCAACCAGCGGCAGCUAGUAAUUUUUCUUAUUUUAGCAUAUAUGUAGUCUCUCUGUUCACGGAUAUAAGAUGUUUGAACUUUUACUGAGUCGGGUGUAUAUAGACAUCAGGGACGGGCCCAUAGUUGUGCGGGACUGUAUGGCCCACACAGGGCCCAUAGAUUUUGGGGGGCCCAAAUUGGUAUAAGGCCUAUGUAUAUUUUCUUCCUGCCGCGUCCAAGCGGCCUGCUCGAUGCCCCCCAAACGGGAUCCAUCGCAUCCUAUCCAGAGCUGGAGUUCCUAUGCGCCGCUCGUUGCGUGAAAAAUCCCCAAAAAGUCUGCUCGAGGGAGGGAUCAAACCAGGGACCUCCUGUUGCUUAUGCGCGAGCCUAGCCAACGGGAUAGAUGAGCUUCUUCGUGUACUAUGGCGUGUGAAGCUAAUGGUAAUAUAGAUCCGAGCAUUUUGUCAAAUUCUGAAGGCGAACAUUAUUUUGGAAAUAUGUUUUUUCAAAGGGACCACUUUUCAACUUUGAGAAGAAGAAAAAAAGCUCGAACAUUUCUUGAUAAACUGAACACUUUUUUGAAAAUGGCGAACAUUAUUGAAUAUGUGAAUAAAUUCUCAUUAAAGGCGACAUUUUUUGAAACUCUGGACAAUAAUUUGGAAACACGAAUAGUUUUGGAAUCGGUCAACAAUUUUUGAAACAAGAACAUUUUUUCAAACUCAGGACAAAAUUUGAAAAUGAAAACAUUUUAUAAAAUUCGAACAUUUUUUAAAAUUUUGAACAUUUUUUUAGAAAUAUGAACAGUUUAUCAAAUCAAGAAUGUUUUUUAGAACUCUGAUAUAUUCUAAAAAGGAAAAAGGAACAGGAGAAAAUAAGCAGAAAAACGAGAAAAGAAGAUGAACAUUUUUCAAAUUCGUUAGCAUUUUUUAAAAAGUCGAACAUUUUUUGAAAUUCCCAAACAAAAUUAGAAACAGACACAUUCUUGAAAGUUACGAACAAAAUUUGAAAUAGAAACAAUUUUUGAAACAACCAAAUAAAAUUGGAAAACAUGAACAUUUUUCUCAAAUUUGCGAAUGAAUUUUGAAAGAGGAACAUUUUUUACGAACUCCUAAACAAAACUUGAAAAUAUGAACAUUUUUUGAAUUUUGUGAACAAAAUUUUAGAACUAUGAAUAUUUUGAAUUUGUGAACAAAAUUUGGUAAGUAGAAUAAAAUUUUGAAAGAAAGGAAUUUCGAUAGCAUGAGCAGUUUUUAAAAUUGAAGAAUUUUUUUGAAAAUUUAGAACCUUUUUAAAAAUCUCAAACGUUUGGAAAUUCAAACAUUUUUUCAAUACAUGAACAAUAUUUUGAAAACCGGAACACAUUUUUUAAACUUUGAACAUAUUUUUUGAUAAGCGAACAAUUUUUUUAACUUCAAAAAUUUUUGUAAAGAACGAAUAGUUUUUACAUGCAGACAAAAUUUUAAUAGUUUGAAUAUUUUUAAAAUUAUGAAAAAUGAAAAACUGAAGAGGAGGAAAAAUAAAGAAAAGAAACAGAAAGAAAAGGAUGAAAAAAGAAAACUUGUAAAGGUAGAAAAGGAAAAGAUAGAGAAGAAAUAAUAAACAGGAAAAAGGAAAAAAAAGACGAAACAGAAACAGAAAAAAAGUGUUAGGAAGCUUCUAGAAGGUUCCCAAAACCGGAAAAAACGGCUGGGAACAAGCGAGAAGGUUCCUAAAACCGGAACAUCGAAACAUUUUACAGGCCGGCCCACGCGCGAACCCUCGAUCGAUCUCCCUGUGCGUCCGCCGGACAACUUGCGGCAGCGAGCGGCAUUCCAUCCAGAGGCAGCCAACGAUUGCCGCCCUCAAAAGAUUCAGCGUAGCGCUGGGUUUUUUUCCGCACUAAUUAUGUGUUGUACUAUGGCAGAAGAUAUAAUUACUUUAUGCCCAGCCAUAAUUACCUUCAUGUGCUGUGUACUGAAGCCCAAAACAGCCCACGCGCAUUAUCCUGUAUUUAGGCCACUGUGGUAAACUGUACUUUCAUUUGUAUGUUUGGCUUGUCUAAAAAAAAUUGUAUGUUUUCCAAGACCUAGCGUCCAUCUAUUCCGCGCCGCCGUCGCUGCCCUGUCGGUUGCCUUGUGAGUUGCCGGAUGCCACCUACACACCGCCGUCAUGGUUCGUCCAUCCUACACUGGCAGCAGUGCGGUGCGAGUAUUCAGUCCGCAGAUCACUGUAUUGUAUUGGCGUAUCCGUUUCUUGAGCAGUUAGAUCUAUAGGUAUGUAUUAAGUACUAGUUUUUAUUAUGUUGGUGGAUUUCAAUCCAGUAUUCUAGUGAUCUCGUUUACUUGCAUAUAAGACAACAGGUUAAUUCACAAAUUAGGUGUGUCGCUUUUCCAUAGUAGAUGACUUUGAUUAAUUUGGCAAAUCACAUGAUCACUUAACCCAAAUGAAAUUGCUGCAAUAGACCCCAUGGUCUAAAGUCAAUCUAAUAAUAAAGAUUCACAAGGAUCAUUUUCCGUGAAGUUUUAUCUAUUGCGUGGUCAUUCUCUUCCCUCAACCCCUUCAUGUUUAAAUCCUGGCUCCACUUCUGCGCUUGAGAGCAAAGUGUUGAAGAAGAUUAAUUACAAGGAUAUCAUUGAACAUUUCAUUUCAAAGAAUACUAAAAGAAUGACUUGUUCAAAUAAAUAUCAGGCAACCGGGAGUUGAAUAGGUAUGCUUUUUUACACAUCCAAUUGCUAUGUAAGACAUUAUAUCAUAUACGUUAUAUUGCUCAUUAGUUUAUUUUAGUGAGAUGGGGCCCCAUUUUUUAGUUUCGCACAGGGCUCUGGAUUUUGCCGACCCAGCCUUGAUAGACAUGUUCUAAUGUGUUUGUUCAGUCAUUUUAGUCUGUACAUAGUAAUAUUAAAAUAUCCAGAACAUCUCUUAUAUUUAUGAAGCGAGUGAGUACUAGUUAUGUAAUGUGUCUAUUACCGGUGCUCGAGUGUCUGAGUGUUAACUUGGAACCCACUAAGAUGAAUUUCUAGACCCGUCGCUUAUUGCAACGUUAGAUUGAAUCAAUAGAUAAUGAUAUUCUUCUCGCCUAGCUCAUCACCGAGACAUUCGAUUUAAAUAAUCUUGUAUCCUUAUUAUUGGCACAAACGCAAUCAGAAGUUUCUUUCUCUUUGGGUCGCGCUAACUGCCACACGUGUGGCAGGAAGGAAGACGCACCACACGUCUCUAAUGUAAACAGAUUGCCACGUCAUCGCAUGCAUGCAUGCAGGAAUUUUUUUGGAUUUUCAGUUUUUAAAAUGUUUUAUCUCUUAAACGAAAAAUCCGAUUGAAAAUCCGUUUUCACCAUUAAAUCCCUCGCGAUGAGAUCUUCGAAACUAGAUCCAAUGUUGAUAUGUUUUAAUGAAUUUUUUUUUGGAUUAAAAGUUGCCAUGUCUAUUGCAUAUGAAUUGUCAUGAUGUUUACACUGAAGUUGCCAUGAUAUGUUUCAGCUCUUUUCUUCUACAUUUAAAAGUAAAUUUUGACAUUUAUAAAACGGGGAAUUAAGAAACUAGACUUGCCAUGAACCAUAAACUAAAAUUGCCAUGAUACAUGCACGUAAAAUUGCCAUGGUUCAUACAAAAAAUAAUUUUCAUGGUCAAAGUACUAGAGUUGCCAUCAUCAAAAUACUAAAAUUGCCAUGAUCUACAAACUAAAAUUGCCACAUGGCAACUUUAGUUUAAGCCCUAUGGCAACUGCAGUGUAAACAUCGUGGCAACUUCUGACAAAAAAAAAAUCAUCGAAACAUAUCAACAUGGGGUCUAGUUUUGAAGAUCUCGUCGAGACGGAUUUAAUGGUGAAAACGGAUUUUUAGUUCGCUUUUUUAUUUAGAAGAUACAACAUUUUUAAGCCGAAAACCAAAAAAAAUUCUGCUGAUGUCAUCUAUUCAUACGUGGCAAAAUGAGUGGUGAUGGAGGCGUGUGGGCGAUGUGCAAACGCCCACACGUGUGGGCGUUAACAUUUUCGUUUUCUUUCUGUCACCAAAAUACUUCACUUACUGAGGGUUUUCUAUCCUGCUCCCUCUUAUUUUCCAUUUUCACAUGAAAGAUACGAGUAUAAAAUAGAUCUAAGCCGUUGAUUGUACUAAAUAGUGGGUUUGAUUAACUCUUAACUUCUUACCUUCCGUGUGAAAAGAGAGGUUUUUUAACAUGCUCCUCUUACUCUCUGUCUCCGUGCAUGUUAAAAUUGCUCUUAUAAAGAUUUACAAGACGACGUGCGAGUCGAGUCGAGCACCUCACCUGGAAGUCAAAACCAUCGGCCAUCGCGUGGGAGUCCCGGGUAGGGCUCGUCACCAUGCAAGGGCGGAAGGAUCGACGUCGCCGGCCGCCAACUCCGGCCACCGGCGAGGCUGAGAACAGCGGUGGCUCGACGGAGGAGAAGACGUGCGCCGCCAUCAGUCAGUUGCGACUAUCACCUCUGUAACCACACAACUGUUGGCUAAGGAGCAAGUGAGCAACUACCGUACUUGUCAAGCCGCCACGAACAAAUACAUAUAGGCAGCGACGAACAUUUAUAUUACUGCGCCGACGUACACACACGCAGGAUGUCUGGCCAGAAAAGGAGGUAGGAUUUUUUUUGCCGACCUUGCGCUGAAACUUCUCCACGUCCCUGGAUCUAAAUGACUAGGGUGAUUCGUAGCCUCCUUUCCCAUACAAAUGUUGUGGCGCCUACGGGGUAAAGCAGCAGCCAUAUAUAUCUGUGCUAGGUUGGAAGAGUGCUCACUAGAAGAGAGCUACGUCGUUGUUGCUACUAUAGAUUGCGCCCGCCCUGAAAUCUCAAUGACCGGGAUGGGUUUCAUACGGAAUCUGGGACGAAAUCUGCAAGUGGAGAGGAAGAGAUUUCGACAACAUAAUUUUUUCCAACUUCACAGAAAUGUACGUGCAUUUUUUAGGAAUGUUAGUUCAAACAUUUUAACAAAAAUGUGUGUACGACUAAAAAAGGUGUUCACGUGUAUGUAAAAAAAUGCCAUGUAGAAUAAAAAUGUUCAGUAUUUUUAUUAAAUGUUCAUGUAAUUAAGAUGUGUUCAUCUAUUCUGAAUAAAAUACAUGUACUUUUAAAGAAAUGUUCACAUAUUUUAAAAAGUGUUCAUAUACUUUCAAAACAUGUUCAUGCAUUUCCUGUGAAAGCGAUCAUGUUAUUAAUGAAAGCAUUCGUCCAUUUGAGAAAUUAUUCAUGUAAUUAAACAAGUUUUCCACCCAUUUGAAAAGUCUUCAUGUAAUUUUAAAAUAGUGUAAUAUUCAUGUAUUUUUUUAAACCCAUAUUUUUUUAAUAUCUUAGUAUAUUUUUAAAACAAAACAUGAAACUUAAAAUAGAAGAGAAAAAGGACAAACAAACAAGAAAAUAAAAAGGAAUAAAACACAAAACAAAAAAGAAACAUGAAAAAAGGAAAAACCCAACACAAACCAGCACAAAAAAACCCGACAAAAGAAAAUAGGAAAAAACAACUGAAACCAGUCCGGUCCACACCCCCACAGCUGGGUCUGGUCCCUACCUUCGCCCAAAUUUUUAUGGCCAGCGAUUUUGCUCGGCAGGUUCAUUAAUGAAAUGAAGUGUUUCGAGCUAAAAAAAACGGUGAUCCAUAAUUUUUUCUUCCACGUUCGUCCGUGGACAGGGGGACCAGUCCGCGUACACGAAUGCGAGAGGCCGUCAUUCAACGCUAUCCUAUAUAUGUCCGCCAGUAAAAGGUAAUUUGAAAUUCAAAUUUAGUUUGAUCCACACAGUGUGUCACAUCACACCAGCGCCAGAUCGCAUGCUCUAUCACAGCCAAAAAGAGACAAGUAUGCUUAGUUUUUACAUGCCGAAUCCAAAAAAAUAUCAGUCUGACAAUCAGUGCAAUUUUUCAUAAAAUGGUGUGUGUGUGGCGCUAUCGGCAAGGCACGUUUCCUCCGUUCGGGCACCACAUGCGUUCUAAAAUAUAACAUCUAACUAAUGUAAUGAGGAACAAGCUACAUUAAUAAUAAAUGCACACAUUUCGGAACAUGACAUACUCCCUCCGUCUCAGUUUACAAGUCCUACGCGUAUACCUAGGUUACCAUUUUUAUCACCCUAAUAUAAACUAUAUAACACAAAAAUUAUACGGUUUGAAAAUAGAACAUCUGAAUUUUAUAUUAAUAUAUUUUUUAUAAUAUAUGAUUUAUAUUAGGUUGGUCAAAUUGACGACCUAGGGGUACGCGCACGCCCUUUAAACUGAGAGAGAGGGAGUACUAUCAUGGAUAAAUAAUGAAAUAAAUGAAUGACAUAAAUGUCAUCCAAUCGCCAAUGUAAAGAAUAUGCUCUCAUGGAGCUUACAACCAAAUCGAGUUUACUCGAAUUUAUUGUAUGAAAUCAUGGAAUCAUGAUAACUAACGAGGUAAGCUAUAUAAACGAGUAUUUAUAUAGGGGCAGGGGUCAAGAGAUAAAUACUCAUUUAACGUAAAGUGUGGAACCAGAAGGGGCUAAGCCGUGCGCAUCGCACGUGUCCGCCGCCACCCUCGUGGUGGACCCGGUUUCCCAACAAGUGUGUGUGCGCGCGUAGUGGCGCCGAGCAUUGUGGCUGGCUUUUGUGAGUGUGUGCAUUGGAGCUAGCUUGGGUUAAAAAAGCCCCCGUGUACUCGUUGUAAGUGCGUCGGUAUGAGCCAUGCCACGGUGCGUUGCCGAGCCCGGGUAUGUGCCCAGUAAAUUGACGCCGUUCGUGUGAUGUGGCGUUUGUGCGCCGGAAAUAUUUGUGUCCCUCUUCUUUUCCACCUAUGUCCGAGCGAGUGUGAGAGCGAGGUAGUCCGGUUUGUCCCAACACAGCCAGCAAGACGGCCACUAGCUGCUAGCGGCUUAGAUGUACUAAAAUGACAUUGUCGCCUCUUCAUGGUGAAAUCAUUAAUUUCCUUGUAAACACUAACAAUUGGCAUCACCUUUGUGUUAUUUGUAUUAGUUGGCGUGCAUCAACACAAUCGUGGGCCUAAGCCCAGGCCCAUGACUCCCUACCUGGCAGUCUAUAUAAUGCAAGAGUUGGCCAGUGUAGUUGAUAGACACACUCUCUCCUCGCGUAACCCUAUCCGUCAUCUAAAUGUACCUUUCAGUGUGCUGCUUCUGGCGAUCCCAUCCCGACAACCGCAUGCACAGUUGGCCAAGAGAUCCCAUCCUGACAACCGCAUGCACAGUUGGCCAAGAGAGCGGGUGCCCUCGAAACCACGUCCUUCGAGAUCCUACCCGGGAGAAGGGCCAUAAGGUUUUUGGGGAGCGUCUCUGUCCUCCUCUACUUCAACUACUUUCCCUGCAUGAUCCCAUGGCGAACGAUGACAAAGCCGCCAAGAAGAAAGCCACGGACGACGUCAAGGUUGUUGCUGUCGCUGCCUGGCCAACCAAAGAGUAUGACUUGUUCAUCCCCUACUAACUCGUUCAUCUGCUAGCCAUAUAUGUCCUGUACAUAGAUGUUUUGUUCUUUGUGUUAUACAUGCUCACAUGUUUAGCUAUCACCUAUCGGUAUGAGUUGCAUACUGUGAAUCAUAUGCUUACUGUUAACUCGUGAACUAGAUUAAUCGAAAAGGUGGUGCUAAUAUUUCCAACAUAUUUGAUUUGAUUUCCUAGCAUGCAUCCAGUAUUGCAGAUGCGAACGCGUACUGCAAAUCUGAGAAAGUCUACGCAACUCUAUUUCAUUAUAUGCAAGUCACGCGUGCAUACGGAACCUGAAAAGGGCAGUGAAGCUUUGUUGGUGGCCAGAGGUGAUAAAAUGCAUCUGUCCCUCAAGCAGGCUCAGAAAAAAUCAGCUCUACUAAAUGAUACAGAUUUUCUUACUGGCAUGCAAUGCCAAACUCGAGAAGCAGCUAAAUAAAUGUAGCAGCAACAGAACGUGCUAAUGCGAGGCGGGCGAAGGUUCUAUCUUCCCGGUACAGCCUAAGAUUAUUUCACUUCACCUUUGAACCACUUUCCAAUACAGACGAAGUCACCACCAACGAAUUUCGACAGAACUAAGUUGGAACCGAUUUCACCGAGCAUCUUAACCACCAUCUUCUGCUACCGCCUAGCUAAACUGGUGGUCCACUGGCAUCCCAGCGUUUUUACCCCUGGCAUGGGGUGGGUUUAUAUACACAAUCUGGGCUGUGAAACAACAGGAACCAGGAUUCAUCGUUUUACAAGGUGGACGUGAGCUUGCAACUGUGCGAGGAAAUUCAGCCAUGCCUGAUGGACCAACCCAGCAUUUCCCCUGCCAUCGUCGUAAGUGCGAGAAGAGCUAGUUGGAUGGAGGUCCAGAUCCACCCAUGCGCCUCCUGAGCCGGCCCCGAGUCAACCGAAUAGCCUCCUGGAUGAGCGUCUCCUCGUCUUCAGGCAUUGUUGGGCGGGGUGGCACGUUGCUUGUCGAAGGCCCAGAUUGAUCAACCAGCAUGUCUUCACUCUUUGGGGGGCUGUUGCCGGCGACAGGGCCAGGACAGGAAGGUGUUUGUUGCUGCACAGGAGGCACUGCGCCAGGAGGGGCAACUGGAACUGGGCCUUUAUCUUGCACCUGCAUCCUUGGUGGAGUAGGAGGAACUUGGGCGGCCUGUGGCGGCAUCGGUGGUGCCGUUGGUGCGGGAACAGGUGGUGGUGCAGGAUUCGCCAUCCGAGUCCGUGGAGGUGGUGGACGCUGCUGCUGUUGCUGUGCCUGUAUAGAGAGACAGUAAAGUAAGUACAUGAGACAUAUACAGCUGACACUGACACACACACGCACAAGCACACAAUACUAGGUAAGUUAAUGAGUUCUAAAAAACCAUCUGACUCUGAAUCCUGCAACUGGUAAACAGAAAGCCCAUGCUGCACUCUCGACAAAUGCACACAGAACUUCUGUACAUGAAUAAUCCUAACCCUUCCUAACAAAUGGUAUGACGAAAUGGUGCAGCAGUUAUCACAUUCCAAUAUGGAAAUUAUAUAUUAUACGUGCUUCUCAGGUUACUAACUCUAACAAAGGAUGUAACAAGAAUGGAAGUGCUAUUCAUGCAAGGUGAUACAAACUAUGUGGAACUAUAGAUCAAACUUUGCUAGAAGUACCAGAGGUAUGGAGCAAAACUAAAUUGCAGGUCGUCAACUUGAUCACUGUCAGUACACGAUCAAAUAUCUAUGUUGUCUUUAACAAGAUAUGUAAAGCAUCAAGCAUGACAAGGUAAUUCUAGACAAGUUUGCUUUUGUAUGUGUGCCCAAACAAAUAAGAGCUAAGCAACCUAGAGGUCGAGGACACCAUGAAUAAUCCUAUUGUGAUAAUUCUUGCAAGAAAAUUGGUACAGGAGUAUGGUAGAUGAAUGGCAUGAUACUACAAAAUCAUUGCUAGCUAAUUUUGUCCACGCAAAUGCCACAAUUAACCACAACUCAGGCUCCUAAGCUGUAAAAUAAACCAGAGAAACAAAUGCCAUUUCCUACCAAAUACCAACAGAGAUUACUGAAUAGUGAUAAAUCCAGGUACAAUCGUAAGCCAGUUUGAUUUGGCAGAACAAUUGGGUUUGACUAAACUGCGCCCUAACUGAUGAAAAGAAAAAGGGAUAAUGUUAUAAUGCAACUACAUGGUGAUGAGUUGAUGACAUAGCAGAACUUGUGCGGCACACAAAUUCUUCCAAAGGGUGCGACCAGGACAUACACACAAAUUCUUAGAGUGCACGCAAGGUAGAAUAUUCAACUGAACACUAGGGGGAAAUAUUUCUAGAAUUUCACAAUAUGGUGUGAAAACACUCCAGUAGUAGCGCUCUUAGAAGACCAGAGCAAAUUUCCCAACCUAUCGAUAAUUCACAGAAAUUCUCAGAACUAGGAAAAAUUAGAUGCAUAUUCUCUCUAUUAUAAAUGGAAGGUAAAUGCAUAUGCCAAAAUUUUGGAGCAAUAUAUGAUCUCUGAGCGUCAUACUAUAUUUCUUUUACCCAAACAUAGGAGUAUUAUUUAACUCCAAUUGUAACUACAAAAAAAAAUCAGUAAACACCACUCGUAGACGAGAGGCUGAAUGUAAAAAGAAGUGUUGCAUAAAGGAACAUAGAAAUGGGUAUUAUUCAUGUUUUUCUAACUUCCACUAGAAAUCAGGGAAUCAAUGUGAAUUUAAGAUCAUUUUAACAUUUAAAAAAAACAUGUGGUGGUAGGAUGCAAUACAUACAUCGUUAUCAAUACAACAUGUGAAUAAAUUCAUGGCCUAGCAUUUAAAAUUCUACUCCAGCCUACAACAUUGGGCUCAAAUAGAAGAAAACCUAAAUAGCACUACCAUUAUGGAACAAGCCACCAGAUUAUAUCAUAUACUCCCUCCGUCCCAUAAUUCUUGUCUUAGAUUUGUCUAAAUACGGAUGUAUCAAGUCACGUUUUAGUAUUAGAUACAUCCGUAUCUAGACAAAUCUAAGACAAGAAUUUUGGGACGGAGGGAGUACAAACUAUAGAAGUUCAGUCAUCAUAUAGUGGGUAGUGUUACACUUCUCGCUAAAAUAGACAUCAUAGCAGUACAAAAUGACUGUCACACAAGCUUUAAAGUUUUGAAAGUACCUGAGAACGAGAUCCUUGUGAUUGAGAAGCAAUAUAUUGCAAGAUUUCAUGGAACCUUGACUGGCUGUAGUCUGCAACCUUGUGGAAGUAAGUAACAGCAAUAUCACUAGCCCUUGUCCUCAACUCAAGAAGAUUGCGAUCAAUCUCAGAUUCGUGUUUUGCGAUAUAAGGCUUGAAGAACGACUCAUAGACAUAUGAAGUCCCCUGGAAUAACCCUUUGUUAGAGACAAGCCAUAAGACAUAACAUGUUAUGGCAACACAAAAAGCAGGAAACAAAACCUGUGUCUUAGGAUACCACAAAUACACAAUAAAAGCCAGCUUUGCUUCACUAUACAUUGGCAACCUGUAUGAAAAUGGAACUAUCAACCAUCAAGCAGAUGAAGUCCCCCAACUGUAAUCACCCAAAAUCCGAAUUCAAAUGAGUCACAUUACCAUGAUAUGAAAUUAUCCCCAACUCUCUCGAAAACAGUAAGCAUUGCAAGUAAAAUCCUGCAAAACCAUGGUCAUGCAUGUGAGACCAAGCAAAAACAAAGAAUGAUAGCCCAAAAUAAAAUGGAAGGACGUCAAAGACAUACCAGUACUGACACCAGAACCGCAACUGCUCAAUCUCAGGCCUAUUCAGCUCCACUGUCUUGUAACAAUCAUAAGCUGGAUAUGCAUAUCCAAGAACAAGUCUGCAAAACGGAUAAAUAGCAGAAACAUUGUGGGUGUAAACAAGAAUCACACCAUUGCUGUGAUUAAAUAAGAACUGAAUUGCUGCUUACAUUAAAGCUCUGGUGAUGAAUGAUCCGACAACCAUCUUGACCCCUACACCACAGAAACAUCAAUUACAUAUGUUGUCAAUUGCCAAAAGCAAGAUAGAUAAAUGUCCUAUGAGGGUCAAAUAUAUAACAGGCUAGCAGUCAUUAUGCUAUAUACUUCCGCAAGCUCCUUCACAUCAGCAAAACAGAACACAAAAAGAUGGAAAUAGGCACCGCAUGCUAGAUUAAGCCUUUAUCUUGCUGAUUACUUCAGCCAUCACACAUCUAGAAAGCCUUAUCCAAUCAUACUAGCACCAUAAAGUCAUACUCCCUCCGUUUUGAAAUAAUUGUCUUUCUAGAGAUUUCAACAAGUGACUACAUACGAAGCAAAAUGAGUGAAUCUACACUCUAAAACAUGUCUACAUACAUCCGUAUGUUGUAGUCUAUUUGAGAUGGCUAGAAAGACAAUUAUUUCGGAACGGAGGGAGUAGGUGAUACCAAACCAUUUGGCUAGAGUUCGAUUUUGUUAUAACAAACAGGGGCUACGCAGAGUAGGGGAAACCUAACGACUGCCUGUCCUGGCAAGAACAAACAAAACUUCUGUUAAAGUUGGGUCUAGAUAAGAACAGGGGGUGCAUCAAGCAUCAUAAGUUCAUAUCAGUCCAUUUUGCUAGAUUUCGAUUUUGUUACAGCAAGCACUGCACGGAAUAGGAGGAAAUCCAAACAAUUACAUAUUCCCAGUCAGACCAAACAAUUUACUGUUACAUUUUGGCUUUAGUAUAUGAUAGCAGAAGGUACACCUCCUCUGCCCUAAGAAAAUGACCAAGCAAAUCAAUCCGAACAUGAACUGGGAGGCAAAUUGAAUGGAGGGACCCGAUACAGAUCGAUUCAAAGGAGCAGCCAAAAGUACACCUAUGCUCUCAGAAGAAGACCAACCAAAUUAAUCUAAACAUGAACUGGGAAGCAAAACAUAAAAAGAUGAAAAUAGGUACUGCAUGCUAGAUUAAGCCUUUAUCUUGCUGAUUACUUCAGCUAUCGAACAUCCAGAAAGCGGCAUCCAAACAUGCUAGCACCAUAAGUUCAUAGGUGACACCAAACCAUUUUGCUAUAGUUCGAUUUUGUUAUAACAGAGGCUACACAGAGUAGGGGAAACCUAACGACCACCUGUUCUGGCCAGACCAAACAAAAUUUCUGUUGAAGUUGGGAAAUUUCCAACAACAAAAUUGAUAAAUGUCCUAUGAGGUCAAAUCUAUAACAGGUUAGCAGCCAUUAUUAUGCCACAGCCUUCCACAAGCUCCUUCACAUCAGCAAAACAGAACACAAAAGGAUGGAAAUAGGCACUGCAUGCCAGAUCAAGCCUUUAUCAUGCUAAUUAAUUCAGCCACCACACGCCUAGAAAGCAUUAUCCAAUCAUGUAUUCAUGUUAACAGCAUAAGUUCAUAGGUGAUACCAAACCAUUUUGCGGAGUUCAAUUUUGUUAUAACAGAGGCUACACUGAAAAGGGGAAACCUAACAACUACCUGUUCUGGCCAGACCAAACAAAAUUUCUGUUAAAGUUGGGUCUAGAUAUAUAGAAUAGGGGGUGCAUCAAGCAUCAUAAGUUCAUAUGAGCCCGUUCUGCUAGAGUUUGAUUCUGUCACAACAAAUACUACAGAGAAUAUGGCGAAAUCCAGACAAUUACUUGUUCCCAGUCAGACCAAACAAUUUACUGUUACAUUUCUGCUUUAGUAUAUGACAGCAGAAGGUAAACCUCCUCUGCUCUAAGAAAUGACCAAGCAAAUCAAUCUGAACAUGAACUGGGAGGCAAAUUGAAUGGAGGCACCCGAUACAAAUCAAUUCAAACGAGCAGCCAAAAGUACACCUACGCUCUCAGAAGAAGACCAACCAAAUUAAUCUAAACAUGAACUGGGAAGCAAAAAAUAAAUAAACGGAGGCACCAGGUACAAUAUCAAUUCAAACGAGCAGCCGAAAGCACCUCGCGCAAACCCAACCAGAUCAGCCUCGGCCUAGCGCGAAACCAGAAUCAACACGCCGCAGAGGAACCGCUACAUCAAGCUCGCAAAUCCCUCCAAAUGCGAGCGGCUCGCAAAUCCCUCCAAAUGCGAGCGGCUCGCAACCCCUGGGCGCCACGCCCCGCGCGGUUGCGGCCCCCGAACGGCACCGGAGGAGCAGCGCACCGCAGCGCGGAGAAUCGAACGGGGCACGGGACGCGACAACCGCAGCCUAAUCCAUACCCGAAACAACCAAACAGCGUAUCCGUGGCGUGUGCGGGGAGAAGUUAACCCCCGGCGGAGACGGAACGGGGAGGGGGCGGCGCCGCUGCUGCCGCCCCUACAGAAGGACCAAAUCGAAGCAAAGUGGGGCGGGGAACGAAUACCUUUCCUCCCGCUGCAAGCAACGGGCCGGCAGCGCGAGGUGCUGGCCCUCGGCGGCGGCGACGACGCGGGCUGUUGCCGGAGCAGGGGAGGGAGCCGCGGAAGCUUCCAGGAGGUUCCGGGAGGGAGGGGGCCUCCGUCCCGGGCCGGGUCGGCGGCGAGGCGGCCGAGGGGAGAGGGGGAGGGAAUUCAAAAGAGGGGUUUGCCUUUGGGUUUGGGGAUGGAAAAGGGGCGAGGAAAUCACCGUCAGAAACCGCUACAUAGCGUCCCACGCUCACGGUGGGGCCUACCCGUGUGCUACGCUGAUAGAUGGGCCCAGACGUGGUAUGGUCCCACCUGUCUGCCGGGCUUAGCUUGCUGCUGUCGGCUCGGGUGGGUGGAAGGGGUCGGAGGUGUGCGGCGCCGUUCUGGUCUGCGGGGGUCGGAGGGGUGCCGCGCACGCGUCGGCUCUUGUACCCGUGCGAAGUCGGGUGCGGUGGGCCGCAGUGUCAGUGGGUGGCCUCGGGUGGAUAAGAGCGCGCCGAGGUUAAGUAAAGAAUUGUGCUGUGUUUGGGUGCGAGGGGCAAGGAAUAUGUGCACGCCGGGAGGAGGGGAUGGGAUCCCAGCCCAUCUGACAACCCCCUCUCUCUCUCUCUCUUCGACACGCUUGUCAAGUGUUGCGGCAUCGUUUUGAUUUAACGAUGUGGUAUAUCGUAAAGUUUGAUAAAAAAAAUAUACUCCCCAUCCAUAAUAAGUGUCGCGAUUUUGAACUCAGAUUAGUAGGUGCAUAUACCGUGAUCGCUCCAGCUGCAAAGAGGGAAUAGAUUGUGUGUGGUAUCUCGCAAAAGAAAAUAUACACUACUUAGGGCAUCUCUAACAGAACCACCAUCACACAACUUUUUAAAUGCUCUCUCAAAUUUUAACUCCCCAAAACUGAGAAGUUAAGAUAACGGACAGACUUAACCGAACUUCUAUAUUUAGAGCAUCUCCAAUAGAUGGUCCAAAAUUUGACGGUCCAAAAUUGAAGAUGUAAAAUUUACACCGCCAAAAAGUGCGCUUUGGGGUUCUCAUUGCCUCAAGAUGUUUUUGUUACACUUAGGGCCUGUUCUGAACUUCUCUUGCUUCUCAAAACUUCACAUAUCCAGCUUCUUCUCCUCGCUUCUAACUCCACCUAGCGAUCGCAGGAGCGUUCGGGAGCAUCGACAGCUUCUCCCAGCGCUGCAGCCCAGCUGGGAGGGCUGUGGCCUGUUGGGCCGGCUGGAGGCAGCCAAAUUCGGUCCAACAUGUCAGGUGAGGCGGACUCCGGCGACUCGACGAGGUGAGGAAGAGAGCGCGAAGGGGAGGAGCAGGAAGGGGAAGGGGCGGUGUGGUGCGGGGAGGUGAGCGGCACCGCAGCCGUGGUCAGGCGCCGGAUCCCGCUGUGGUGCCUACGCCCGUGGGCCCGUUUUCGAUGCCUUCCCCGGGCUGCGUCGACGGGAACCGGCGGGGAUUGCCCUGGAACGGCUCGAUCUGUUGCCGGGAAGGAGCGGCGGCCGGCGACGACGCGGCGGCCGGCAACGGCGUGGCGGCGGAUUGGGUCAGCGCCGCUCGAGGGGAACGAGCUGGGGAGAGCUAGCGAUAGGAUUUGGGGGAGGGGAACGAAUCGGUAAGUUUUGCGGUGGCAUACGGCUGUAAUUUGGGCAAACUCCAGUUUCUCUUUUCCGUGGAGCUGGGCCGAGGCAGCUUCGAAUUUUUACACUGCGAUUGGGCUCAGCUUCCCGAAGCGAGCUUCUCGGGGCUUUUCCGUUCGGCUCAGCUCCCGCUCCAGAAUUUUGCAAAGCGUGGAGCGGGAGGACAUCCGAACAGGCCCUUACUGAGCGGAAGGGGGCAUGUGAACCUUUUGGAGAACUUGUUGAGGCUUGGGUACUGAUUGAAGGAAUUCCUCCUAAAUGGUGCACAUGGAAAGUUUUUGCUCAGAUUGCUUCUUUGUUUGGGGUACUGACUGAUGUAGGCUGGAAUGGCAUGUUCAGGACUUUCUUUGAGAAUGUUAGAAUAAAAAUUGCUUGUAGGGACCCCACAAAGAUCCCAUUUGAGAGGCUCAUUGAGAUGAAGAAGAAGUUGUUUUUACUGGGCUUUGCUGCGGAGGGAUUUGAGCAAGUUGGUGGGAUUGACUCUGUUAUUGAUAUUGAGGAUGAUGAAGAAAUAGAAGGAGAAGGUGUCGCUGAGGGACAGGAGGAUGAGGGUGGAAAUGCUUAGAAAGAUGGACUGGAAGACUUACUUGAUAGUGAGGAGGCAAUUGAUGAGCUAGAUAAGGCUAAUAUAGCUAAUCAAAGCAAGAAUAAACAGAAAGGGCCCCAAGCUGACAUGUUCUGUUCUGACUCUGAUCAUGAAACCUUUAUCCUGGAGUGUGUUGCUGCUGAUAAAGAAGAACAUCUUGUAACUGAAAAAGGAACUGAAUCUAAGGAUUUCUGUCCUUCUACUUUGAUGGAAUCCACUCCAUCCAAGCCACUAGUAAGGAUUGCUGAGGGGAUCACCAGUUCUGGAGGGAAGCUUGAAAGCAUGGAGUAUUGUGAGAGUAUACUUAAAUCUGUUGACUUUUCUGAGUCCGAGGAAGAGGAUUCCAAGGGUGAUGAACUUGAAACUCUUCCUCCUGAAGUUGUACAAGCCAUUCAAAACAUAUCUCUGAAAAGAUCUUUGCUGGAAACCCUUGAUCAGGAUCAGGAUCCAAGGGCAAAAGCUGAGAAGACCAAGUGGAGGCCUGUGCUGGUUCAGAAACCUGCUACUAGGGGGCAUGGCAAUUUGAAUAUCAUGGAAAAAGCUGCUGCUUACAAGAGGAAGCAGAAUCUGGAAAUUCCAAAAACUUUCAAAGGUAAAUCAUUCACUAAUACUGAUCAUAACAUUCUGUUUGAAAAAAUGAGUAAAAUUGAUUUAUGCAUUGGGGGGAUGAGGGGAUGAAUAGUGUAUCCAUAGCGUGUGCGGGGAGAAGUUAACCCCCGGCGGAGACGGAACGGGGAGGGGGCGGCGCCGCUACUGCCGCCCCUACAGAAGGACCAAAUCCAAGCAAAGUGGGGCGGGGAACGAAUACCUUUCCUCCCGAUGCAAGCAACGGGUCGAAGCGCGCGAGGUGGUGGCCCUCGGCGGCGGCGGCGACGCGGGACCUCAUCGGAGCAGGGGAGGGAGCCGCGGAAGCUUCCAGAAGGUUCCGGGAGGGAGGAGGGGGCCUCCGUCCCGGGCCGGGUCGGCGACGAGGCGGCCGAGAGGAGAGGGGAAGGGAAUUCAAAAGAGGGCUUUGCCUUUGGGUUUGGGGAUAGAAAAGGGACGAGGAAAUCACCGUGAGAAACCGCUACAUAGUGUCCCAAGCUCACGGUGGGGCCUACCCGUGUGCCACGCUGAUGGAUGGGCCCGGACCUGGGAUGGUCCCACCUGUCUGCUGGGUUUAGUUUGCUGCUGUCAGCUCGGGUGGAUGGAAGGGGUCGGAGGUAUGCGGCGCUGUUCUGGUCUGCGGGGGUCGGAGGGGUGCCGCGCACGCGUCGGCUCUUGUACCCGUGCGAAGUCGGGCUAGCUCGGGUGCGGUGGGCCGCAGUGUCAGUGGGUGUCCUCGGGUGGAUAAGAGCGCGCCGAGGUUAAGUAAAGAAUUGUGCUGUGUUUGGGUGCGAGGGGCAAGGAAUAUGUGCACGCCGGGAGGAGGGGAUGGGAUCCCGGCCCGUUUGACACCCCCCCCCCUCUCUCCCUUCGACACGACUUGUCAAGUGCUGCAGCAUCGUUUUAACUUUCCGAUGUACUACUAGUACCAUCGUAAAGUUUGAUAUAAAUGAAAAAAUGUACUCCCUUCCUCAAAUUUAAUACAAAGUUGACACUUGUUUUGAAACGGAGGAAGUAUACGAAGUAUUUUUACACUUGUUUUGAAAAGGACAUAGAUUAGCACGCGAAAUUUCUGCUCCCAGGCUCAUCUGCACCUGCGCUCAUAAAAAAAUCAAAGAAAAACUAGAAAAAUCCUUUUUUGUGUGUGUGGCUCAUCUGCACCUGCGCAUGGCCCCUCCUGAUUUGUCUUUUUUGUCGAGAGCUGUUCAGAUGUCCAAAUGAGUUAAAAUUUGGAGCUGACAUCACGCAUCAAAUUAUCUACCAGACAAAAAAUGUAUAUUUUUUUGAAUUUUUUUAGUAUUUGUUUUGAUUUUUUCUGAGCGGGAGCAUAUGAGCCUGGGCACCGAGUUGGAUUUUCACAUAGAUUAUGUACAUUGUGCAAUAGUACCUCGCAAAAGAAAAUAUAAAUUUCCUAGGGCAUUUCUAACUGAAACACCACUAUAUGACUUUUCAAAUGCUCCCUCAAAUCUUAACUCCUCAAACGGCAAGCUGGAGGACACGGGUUUUUCGGGCAAUACUUCCUCAACUUGGACUGCAAUCAGUCACGGCCUAGAUUUGCUCAAGAAAGGUUUAAUAUGGAUAGUUGGGAACGGAAGGAGUAUUCGUAUAUGGAGGGACGCUUGGAUCCCUAGGCCCUUUUCAUAUAGGCCAAUCUCAGUUCAGGGUACAUGCAGGUACCGUUUUGUGUCACAGCUUCUACGCGACAAUGGAUCAUGGAAUUACAAUCUGCUCCAGGAAGCCUUCCUACCAUGUGAUGUGCAGGAGAUUCUGAAAAUAAGAGCAUCGCCGCGGCUAGGCGAGGACGUGCUUGCAUGGGGGCCGGCUGGAAAUGGUGUUUUUUCAGUCGAAUCAGCAUAUACCUUAGCCUUUGAAGAGACAUACAUAUCUACUGCGGAAUCUUCAAGCUCAGCCCCGAAUGGACAUCAGACCUGUUGGAAAGUUAUUUGGAAAAGUUUUGUACCUCUAGCAGUACAGCAGUGAACUCUCUCCCAACUUGGCAAAACAAGAAUAAACGUAACUUAGAAACUUCGGGAAUCUGCCCAAUCUGCGAGCGGGAAGAGGAAGAUACUUUUCAUGCAUUAUGUAAAUGCCCUUUUGUGGUGCAAUGUGGGAAUGCAUGUCAACUGUUUGGCGUUUGCCACAGCUGGAGGAAAUGAAAAAUACGGGUACUGAAUGGUAUUGGAGGCGCUCCAUCCACUCCCUGAGAUUGAUAGUGGUAUGCUAAUGAUGACACUGUGGCGGGUAUGGCAUAACCAUAAUGAAGUGACUCAUAAAAAAGGAUCCAUUGUUGAUGGAAGUGUCCAAGCGUUUCCUGAUGAGCUACAUGGACUCGCUCUUAUCACUGAAAUACUCUGAUUAGGAUAUGUUUAAGGGACAGCAAGUGGUCUCUUAUGAUCAUCUAUAUAAACCACUUGUGAUAUUAUCUACACCUCGGCACAUUCCAUGGGUGUUGCCAAUGGAGGGCUGGACCAAACUCAACACAGAUGGUUCUUGGUCAGUUGAUGGAAGUGCGGGAGCUGGUAUGGUACUCCGGAAUAAUAUGGGUUAGACCAUUUACACAUCAUGCAUAGAGCAUUUCUCGUGCAGACACGCUUUGGAAGCGGAGCUUAGUGCAUGUACGGAGGGGCUUUUACUUGCCAUUCAGAGAACGGAGUUUCCUAUCCAUGUGGAGAUGGAUUCCCGACAAGCUGUGAGCAUGAUCGUUGAUGAGUUAACUGAUAGAUCGAUCUUCUCUUCACUGGUGAAGGAAAUCAAGCAUCUGAGGAACCUCCGUAGAACUACAUUUAGUCUUGUUCAUUGUAUUCAGAAUAGUGUUAGCAAUUUUUUGGCUAAGUUUGCUAGAACUCAGAGUAGAACUGUUGUUUGGCUUAACUCUGUCUUGUCAGAAGUUAUUGAGCUUUGUAAUGCAGAUCAUGGCAUUUAUCCCACUUGAGUAAUACAAAGUUCACCCGCAAAAAAAUCUUAACUCCUAAAAAAUGAGGAGUUAAGAUAGCGGUGGGACUUAACCGAACUCCUAUAUAUAACUCCUUAUAAAAAAGAUAUUUGCUAUUUAGCUAUCUUAAUGCCACAUGUUCUAGAUCCAAACGGCUGUGAUUAUUCUACUGUAUGCCCGUCGUUGAUGGAGAGAGUGUGGGGAUGAGCAGAGGUCGGAUCCCGUCGUGGCUCAGUGGAUGUAGGAUGAGGCAGUGGUGGCUUGCACCAUCAGCCAUGGACCUGGGCAUGCUGCCGCCGAGGCAUUCCAACUGUCUAUGGGAAGGGGGGAGGUCGUGGUGCUCCACGGGUGGAUGGCCAAACGCAGUGGGGUGAGUCCCACCUGGAUUGGCCAGAGUCGGAGGGACGCUCAGCGCCUUGACGUUGCCCGAACCGGAGUCGCCACCACCUCGCGUGGGUGCGAAAGGGGCGAUGCGCAGGUCGUCUAGCCACGAAUCCAUGCUUGAGUUUUUUUGUUAGAAAUCUCAUUGACUUACCUAAUAAAAUCGUGUUGCAUUGGUGAGCCAAUAAGUACUGAUCCAUUUAACAGUAAUAUCUGUUUAUAGUUAACAAUAAAAUUGUAGGUAAAUCAUGGUCAUUGCAUACAUUUAUGUGUGCCUUCGUUACAAUUCACAUGCAAUUAUCUAAUGGACUGAAAUUAAGGUCUAUGGCUUUUAAAAUAAUUUUUUAUUUCUUGUUGGGUUGAGAGUCAACAACCGGAAUCCAACACUUAAUUAUUUGUUGAUGCAAGUUUUAAUUUUGUGUUGCACCUGUUCGUGAGAAUGAGUCUUAGUACUGGAUGAUAACAUCACGUGGCCCUUGCUCUGUUUUCUUUGAACCAAUCUAGACAUGGAAGCCAUUUGUCAACCAAUGAUUUUUCUUUUUCCUAUUCAUAUGUGAAAUUUGUGUGCUAUUUUCUUGUUCUUAUGUCUAGCUAAAUCUAUACCUAAUAAUAAAGGGGCUAUUGCUGCGGCACGUCAUCGAAAUUGCCCCCAAAGUUGCAAAAUAUUACGCACUGAUGCCAUCUAUAUAAGGGAUAAAAAUGUUUCACACAAGGGAAUCCCCGCCUGGGCCGGCCCAUGCGGUAGGAACCUACUAUACUGCACUCUGUUUGUGCCGGCCCAAGUCGGGGCGGCAUAUUUUUUUAAAUUUUGUUUUCUAUUUUUUGUUUUUGUUUGCCAUCUUCAUUUUUCUACUUUAAAUAAUUUUGGAUUUUAAAAAAUUACAAAAUUAAAAAAAUGAGAAUUUUGAAAUAAAAUGUUUGAUAAUUCAUAAAUGUUUGUGCAAUUAUAAAAUGUUCCCGAUUUAAAAAAAUAUGUUUGCAUAUUCAAAAAGUGUUCGUAAAAAACAAAAUAAAUGUUUGGGGAAUAAAAAAUGUUCAUGAUUUUUUUUGAAAGUUUGUGUAUUAAAAAGCAUUGAUGAAAUUGAACAAAAUUUUGCCAAUUCAAAAAAUGUUCAUGAAUUGAAAAAUAUCAUAAAUUUUUGAAAACUGUUCAUGACUUACAAAAUAGUUUAUUGAUUCAUAAAAUGUUUGUGGAUAAAAAAAUGUUCAUUAAAUGAAAAAAAUUGUCCCACCAAUUCCAAAAACAUGUUCGUAGAUGCUAGAAAUAUUAUCCUAUUCAAAAAAAUGUUUUAAAAAGUAUUUUCAAAUAGUAUUAAAUGUUCAUGAAUUCAAAUUUUUACAUGAUUUUAGAAAAUGUUUAAAAAAAUGUAAAAAUCUUCCCGAUUUCAGAUAUGCUCAUGAGUUUAAAAUAUUGUUCAUGAGUUUCAAAAAUUGUUCACGCUUUCAUGAAAAUGGGAGUAUACUGUAUCUUGGUGAUGUAGCAAUAUGUGGUCAUGGCCAUUCAAGAUUAUGAUUUUUUUUCCCGUUGCAUCGCACGGCUGUUUUUGUAGUGUUUUACUUAUAUAUAGUAGAUAUACUUGUGAAAACCAUACAUAAAUAUUGCAUAUCUAUAUAAUUUAUAAUUUCAUAUAAUCCACACGGCAAUACAAAAAUCAAUUUUCAUAUAUAUCCCAAUCACAUUUAUUUCAGGGAGCAUGUCCUUGUACAUCAUCAGCUAGAUCCGUAUGUUUGUUGGAGGGGUGUACUUUGCUUAUUAGCGUAUAUGCAUAUUGUGCACUCACACCCAAAAGGAACACACUUGGCACUGGCGUUGCACGCGCAGUUUGGAGGGCAGUGAAACUUCAAGAGCUCUUGGCCCACUUGAUUCUGGCAUUCACUUAUAUCACAAUCAUGACCACCCGGCUGUGGGAUGAGUUUUCUCUUGCAAUCUUUAUACGCUGUCGCACCUACUCCCUCCGUUCCUAAAUACUUGUCUUUCUAGAGAUUUCAACAAGUGACUACAUACGGCGCAAAAUGAGUGAAUCUACACUUUAAAAUAUGUCUACACACAUCCGUAUGUUGAGUCCAUUUAAAAUGCCUAGAAAGACAAGUACUCCCUCCGUUCCUAAAUAUUUGUCUUUUUAGAGUUUUAAAUGGACUACCACAUACGGAUGUAUAUAGACACAUUUUAGAGCGUAGAUUCACUCAUUUUGCUCCGUAUGUAGUCACUUGUUGAAAUCUCUAGAAAGACAAAUAUUUAGGAACGGAGAGAGUAUUUGGGAACGGAGGGAGUACAAGAUAUCGGCAUGAAAAGAACAUGGGUCACACAUCAUGGCCAUAAUUUGAUAAAUGAGUUUGUGUGAUAUGCAUUAUAGAGAAGAAAAUGGGCACCAUAUGUUAACAGAAGGAAGGCGAGGACCAGGAGUUGAGUCACAGUACCGGUUCUCCUCAUUUUUGCCGUCUUAUGGCGUUGAUAUCUACUGUUGUUGAUGGCUACGAAACUUUAGAGCUGUUUAGGAGAACAAAUAAGAUGGCAAUCUUUUUAUAGAGGGCUUCAUAUCAAUACCAUUACCAUUAUUUGGAAAGACAUUUACUAUUGGAUAUUGUAUACCAAAAAAAUAAUUAUGGAGUAUCAAAUAAGUAAUACUAAUACCAUUAUUGGAAAGAAAUUUAUUAUUGGAUAUUGUAUACCAAAAAAAUAAUUAUGGAGUAUCAAAUAAGUAAUACUACUACCAUUAUUUGAAAACACAAUAUUAUUGGAUACCAAUACCAUUAACAUUAUUUGAAAAACACAAUAUUAUUGGAUAUCAAUACCAUUAACAUUAUUUUGAAACACAUUAUUAUUGGAUAUCAAUACCAUUACCAUUAUUUUGAAACACAUUAUUAUCGCCCAAUGCGCUUGCCAAGAAAAACUUACACCACACACCCACAACUACCGAGCCCGUUGGUGAUCGAGCCUGCCACUGUUACUCUAUGCAAGCAGCAGAACAACACGAUGCAGCGAAAGAACUCUAGCAGCGGAACAACGAUGACGGUGGUGAACUCCACUCCGCAGGGACUCUGGCUAGAACGCUUAUCCCAGCUCGCACGAACAGAAACCACGACAAGCAAGCAAUCAAAUCCGGAAUGACCUGCAAGCUGGCAUGACACGCCAGGUCAGUACAUUGAAUGUACUUGCAAGCUCACAAUAACCAGAAGCAUUCAAGACAGACAACAACAUGGCAAUUACAGGUUAAACAGGAAUUAUCAUGAUAUCAUCAAAACAAUAUAGCAUGAACAAGAUGAACAUGAUACGGCUAACAGAACAUGAACAUGGAAUGAACAUAUUAAUCCGACAAUACUAGCAUGCAACAUGAUGACACUAUCAUGCACUACUUAUUCUGCUCGGGUUACCUCGUAACCAACACAUGCAUCACUUACCAACCUCGGACAUCACACGAUCAUCUCAGGAUCAAAUCAAGCUUGGUAUAAACAAUACCGUAGUAAUCAUUAAAUGGCCACAAGGAGCUUGAUCUUUACCCACGAUUCUCGCACAACAUCACGAAUAUCCAACGACUCGGUAUCCUCAAUACCACCAUGAUCCUUACGGUGAUCACAACCACGACCAACACUUGGUCUCAAACCAUGAUCCUUACGACGAUCACAACCACGACCAACACUUGGCCCCAAACCGUGAUCCUUACGGCGAUCACAACCACGAGUUGUCAUUAAUCAAGUUAUUCUUAUUACUGUUGACUCAUGGUGUACCCUACUUUCGAACUGGGCCCUUAUCCGUGGGCGCGGCUAUCGAUAGAUUUAACAUACACUCUGCAGAGGUUAGUACACUGUACCCACACUACGGAACCCAUGGCCUCGCACUCCCAUUCGGGUGGACCAACGGCGUUCCGACAAAACCGUUCUAUUGCCAUGACACUCUCCCGGCCACUCCGACUCACUCCCCACUGGGCUAAGUCAUGGGUGGCCCCGUGUCUACCUCAAGAUACCUCAAUCCACCGCCGUGGCCCAAAACAAUAAACCGUCCCAAACGGGGACAUGUGCACAUAACAACAACAAUGGGAACACAAGUCUUAUGUCCGCCUACCUGAUCAAGGUAUCGCGCGCCCAUAACCUUCCCUCGUUAGAGGCACCGGCGAGAGGCGCGACAAUAGACCCAGUUAGGACCGUCCCAUACCGGUAAGCGUGGUUGCACUGGUCAGCAUCAUUUCAAUGGCACCAUGACUCAACCAACAGUUAUUCAAGUUCAAUUUAAUCCGGUUAACUUGAAUGCAAAUAUGCUGAGCCAUGAUAAAAUGCAUGAACAUGAUAUCAACAUAAUCAUGAGGGUAUCACAUAACUACCCACCAUAUCAACAAUAAUUCAUAUCCACUGAGCAUGGCAUACUGACUAGCAUGACCAUCACCAACAUCAACAUGUACUACUAGCAAGCAUAAACAUAUGAAAGGAAAUACUAGCAGGUAGAACAUGAUAACAUAGUACAAGACAACCUAGCACAAAAGUGAACAUGCAAAUCUAAACAUCACCGGAACAACGAUAACCAUCUUUUCAACAAGCAAAUAUUUAAUAAAGAUUCAAGUUGAAAACCGUGGCUACUGCAUGACUAUUAUGCAAGUGGGUAUUGUGGUUUCCUGGGGUGGAAGAAAUCACUGGGAGAAGCGCGAGAAAAUCGCGGAACGAAUCGCCGGAAAACAUACUCUCUUGGAGGGGGCCGAAUAAGGGCAAGGGCAUAAUGGUCAUUUUCACAGUGUCAAACCAUAGUGAAUGGAUGGCCAACAGAACGGGCUCGACGAAACAAAGAAGUAGGCUUUGGAAUCACCUCAUUUGGAGUUACGGAUAAAAAGAUACGGACAUUUAAAACUCAGGGACUAAUCUGUAAAAAUACUUCUACAAACAGGUCCCUGGCAGUUUUAAACCGAACGCGUCUUUCUGAGAAUAUGCCUUCAAAUCAGGAAAACGGCUUCGCGCCGGGGCUCCUCCACUUAUCCACGUGGCGCUGACCAGUCAAAGAGGCAGCAGCGGGGCCGGGCGCCUGGGUCGCUGCCAGGUGGGGUCACGGGGCCCGCCUGGCCAGGUCAACGCCCCACAUGGCAGGCUCCUUCUCCAGCUGGAUGCGCGCCGGGCCGAGGGGAGGCGACCGCCCCGACGGCGCUCGCAGGUGUGUCCGGCCACGGCAGGCGACGGGCGACCUACCCACGAGAUCGGGAGGAGGAGGCGCACCCCGGGGUAGUAUCCGUUGCCGGCGACGAGCACUGGAGAGGGAGCAGCAGGGGCCGCUGCGGAGAGGAGCUUCGGCCUCGGGAAAACUAGGGCUCCNNNNNNNNNNNNNNNNNNNNNNNNNNNNNNNNNNNNNNNNNNNNNNNNNNNNNNNNNNNNNNNNNNNNNNNNNNNNNNNNNNNNNNNNNNNNNNNNNNNNNNNNNNNNNNNNNNNNNNNNNNNNNNNNNNNNNNNNNNNNNNNNNNNNNNNNNNNNNNNNNNNNNNNNNNNNNNNNNNNNNNNNNNNNNNNNNNNNNNNNNNNNNNNNNNNNNNNNNNNNNNNNNNNNNNNNNNNNNNNNNNNNNNNNNNNNNNNNNNNNNNNNNNNNNNNNNNNNNNNNNNNNNNNNNNNNNNNNNNNNNNNNNNNNNNNNNNNNNNNNNNNNNNNNNNNNNNNNNNNNNNNNNNNNNNNNNNNNNNNNNNNNNNNNNNNNNNNNNNNNNNNNNNNNNNNNNNNNNNNNNNNNNNNNNNNNNNNNNNNNNNNNNNNNNNNNNNNNNNNNNNNNNNNNNNNNNNNNNNNNNNNNNNNNNNNNNNNNNNNNNNNNNNNNNNNNNNNNNNNNNNNNNNNNNNNNNNNNNNNNNNNNNNNNNNNNNNNNNNNNNNNNNNNNNNNNNNNNNNNNNNNNNNNNNNNNNNNNNNNNNNNNNNNNNNNNNNNNNNNNNNNNNNNNNNNNNNNNNNNNNNNNNNNNNNNNNNNNNNNNNNNNNNNNNNNNNNNNNNNNNNNNNNNNNNNNNNNNNNNNNNNNNNNNNNNNNNNNNNNNNNNNNNNNNNNNNNNNNNNNNNNNNGAGGAAGAAGACGAGCUCACGGGCGCGCACUGCUCGACCCUUGGCACGGCUCAUCGGAGAAGAAAAUGGAGGGGGGGGGGGGCGGGGUCCAGGCGAACGGCGACAAUGAUGCAGAGCUACUAGACAUGCGGGGACGAGCCAAAUCCAGCUGGAGCAACGAUGCCGAGGCCAACAGUGGCUAGACCACCGUUUUGGCUGGCUGCCCUCGUGGUCACCACUGGCAUGGUGCACUCUGGAGGUUUUACUGAGGCCAGAUUAUGUCUACCACGUAGUCCUUCAAAGAUAGAUUGUUACUACGGUAAAGGUUUGGGCAGAGACAAAUGGAGCUGAGUAAACCAUGCUCCACAAGUUUGCUGUUGCAAACUUGGCAACAUCCUAGAGGUAAAACCAAAGAGUUUGAAUGGUAAAUUUGAUGUCUGGGAGGCUUAGGGUAGAAAGGACUACAGUCCUGGGGGGUUUGAGGGUAAAUGGAUCAAGAUUUACUGCAGUUGCUUCACAACUGACCAAAAUGGUCCAGAAACUAGAUCAUGAUGAUGCUCUCACAUGGAGUUAUGAAAUGAGAUGCAGCUUGGCAAAUACUCAUGAUAUGGACAUAUAAAGAUUCUGUAAAAAGCUCAUGCCAAAUGGACAAGCCAAAAUGGCACUUGCUUCACAAACAUCAUUUCUGUCCAGAAACUUGGAAUAAUUAUGGUGAUCAAAUGGAUCAAUUAAAUGAUGCAAAAAUGGGUGGAGAGAUGUUUCAUGGGUAUAAGAAUGAUCUGGUAAUUUAUCAGGAUUUUUGAAGCAAUACAAAAUGCACUCGCUUCACAACCUGAAAAUAUUGCCAUAAUCAAAGAUUUGCUCCUAUGCUCACAUAGAUGAUUUUAUGGGACUGCAAAUUGGUGGAGGGGGUUAAUAUGAGCACAUUAAAGAGUGUGCAAAAUUUCAACUCAUUUGGGUACUCUUAGCUAGUACUUCCUUCACAAAGCCUUCUGUUUGACAGAAACUUUGAAAAAUCACUGAGGAAGAUUGACUAGGAAAAUAAAGUUUAACUUGUGCAUGAGGCAAUUAUUCGGACAUAUAAACAUUCCCAAAAAGGAUGGGAGCCACUAGGAAAAAUAUAAAUGACACUUCCUUCACAAAGGGCCAUUCAGGGCAGAAUAGAAAAAGGAAUAUUGGGGAAUUACUUUUGAACAUGGCAAUGAAUAGUUUUGCCAUAUUUGAUCAAGAUAUGACCCAAACAAUUUAUGAGAAUUAUUUGGGAAUUUUUGGAGUGAUGGAAAUAUAGGUUGCUUCACAACCUAGGGCAAUUUGAGUUAUUCCUUUAAUAGAAAAGGAAUAUUCCCAAUAAAAAGAAUAUUGGGAUUUGGGCUAGGAUGAAAAUGACAGGGUCUAGGAGAGGAUUUAGUAAUGACAAGCCACUCUGGAAGCAAAGAAGAGGUCAUCUUCUUCAGUUUCCAGACCACAAAGCCACGAAAAAAAAGAAAACUCAGGCAAAAACCUCGGAAAAACAAAAGGAAAAGAAAGGGCCAAAAAUCAGGCUGUCAUAGUAGUGUCAAAAACCGUCUUACAUUAUGGGACGGAGGGAGUACUACACAAAGUUACCUAUCUCUCACUUUCUCUCCUUUCGUAAAUAGACUAAACCAAGCUUUGUUUGGUGAAAUACAUGACCAAUCGCACGAGGGACAAGACGGGAGGUUGGGCAGUUCUGCACCACCCCGGUCGCCACAGCUCAGCCCCGCGUCAAUCAAAGUGACCAAAGAUCUAAGUGCAGUGAACAAGUUAUAAAUUUUUCUCUUGAGAGUAGAAAAUGAAACCACUGGAAACAAAACGCUUGACUACCAUGAAUCAAGUUUCUAGUAGUGAACUAUUUUGCAAAAAAACAACUACGUUUGCUACCAUAGUAUAAACAAAAAUUUGGCUUCGGAACAAAAACUGCAAGUUGGUGAACAAUAUACUUAACUAUCAUGAACAGAAAAAAAUAUGUGAAUGUGAAUACAUUUUUUAAGUAGAGUGGACAAAUUUCAACAUGAAAAGAAAAGGAAAUAAAACUAUAAAGAACGGGAGGUUGGACUGUGGCGGACAAUUUUUUUCUUACUGCAAUGAACCAACAUUUUAAGUGUAAUGGAUACAUUCUUUAAGUAGACCGAACCAAAAUUUUGACUUCAACACCAAAAUUUAAAUCAUGAUGAACAAAAACUAUAACCGCACUAUGAACAAUAAAUUUUGGACGCCGAUGCCGCACGACUUGUUCGGUACGAGGGGAUUGAUCCCCCCGCAUGAAUUCAUUCGGCAGGGGGAAUCCAUAGCCCACAGGCCUCCAUCACACCAGACCCUUUCCCUGUGAAAAAAAGGAACAUAAAACCCGCUGACGGCGAAUUAAAUGAAAAGACCCAGAUUAUUUUUCCGUGACAAAUAGAAGCCCAGAUUUUGCUCGGCUACUAAAAAAUGCCAUCAUCUUUAAAAAGCAUCAAAAUGAAAAAAAAAAUCCAAAAAUGCCAUUCAAGAUUGACCAAACUAUUUGCCAUUAUAUUCUUUUUUUACAAUGGCAAGGUUUGUAAACACAUAUUUGAUUCCCCAAUAAAGCAUGGCAAAUCUGCCAUGACAAAAAAAAAAUUCCAUAUUGCCAUGUGAAAAAACACAAAAUGAAAAUUCAUGUGAAAAAAGAAAAAUUGCAAGGACAAUAAAGAUAAAAAUGCCAUGGCAUUUUUAAUUAAAUGCCAUUAAAUUUUAAUCAAAAUUGAUGUAUUUUGAAUCAGAAAUUUGCCGUGUGUGAGAAAGAACACAAAUAGUUUAAAAUCAAGUAUGAACAAAGAAAUUUUCUACGGCAGACUCGUAUCAAGAAUUGCCGUGUUUUUGUAUGAUGAAUUUACCUUGUGUGAGAAAAUACAAAAAGUUGGAAAUCAAGUAUGAACAAUUAACUUGCCAUGGCAGAUGUAUAUCAGGAAUUGUCGUGUCUUUGUAUGAUGAAUUGGCAUGUGUGAAAAAACACAAAAAGUUGAAAAUCAAGUAUGAAGAAGAAAAUUGCCAUAACAGAUUCUUAUCAGAACUUGCCAUGGCAUAUUUGUAUUAAAACUUGCCAAGGUGAAAUUUCAUCUAAACUAAAUUUUCCAUGAUUUGAAAACUAAAUUUUCCAUGAUCAAUAAACUAAGUUUGUCAUGAUUUGUAAAAUAAAUUUCCCAUGAACCAAUAAACUAAAAUUUGCCAUGAUCAAUAAAUUCAGUUUGCCAUGAUCAAUAAACUAAAUUUGUAUCAAAACUUGGCAUGGUAGAUUCGUAUCAAGAAUUGUCGUGUUUUGUGUGAUGAAUUUGCCAUGUGUGUGUGUGUGUGUGGAAAAACACAAAAAAUUGAAAAUCAAAAAAUAUGAACAAGAAAAUUGCCAUGGCAGCUUCGUAGCAAAACUUGGCAUGGCAGAUUCAUAUCAAGAAUUGCCGUGUUUGGUAUGAUGAAUUUGCCGUGUGUUAGAAAACGGAAAAGGUUGAAAUUCAAGUAUGAACAAGAAAAUUGCCAUGGCCGAUUCCUAUCGAAACUUACCAUGGCAACUUUGCAUCAAAACUUGCCACGACAAAAUUUAUGUGAAUUAAAUUUAACAUGAUUUGAAAAUUAAAUUUGCCAUGAUUUGUAAACUAAAUUUGCCAUGAACCAAUAAACUAAAUUUGCCAUGAUCAAUAAAAUCAGUUUGCCAUUAUCAAUAAACUAAAUUUGCCAUGGUCAAUAAAUUAAAUUUGCCAUUAUCAACAAACUAAAAGUGCCAUCAGCAUGGCUACUUUGUUACAUACAAAACAUCCAUGCUAUGUGUAAAAAAGGAGAAAAAUGAACACAAAUUGCCAUGCUAUGUGAAAUCAUGGCGGAAGUAGCUACGUAUGUCAUGGGUACUAUGUUAGUAUGUUACAUACAAAACAACCAUGCUACGUGUGUGAUUCUGCCGGGGAUUUGUUUAAAAAGUUUACCAUGGUCCAUGUAAGAAGAUGGUGGCAAUUUUUUUAAGGAUGGCAAGUUUGCCAUGUUUUAGAACCUUUAAAUAUUUGUCAGGCUUUACUGAAGUGCAAAAAAUACAUUUGCCAUGUGACGAUGGUCCCAAAACUUAACAUGCCAAUACAUGUUAAGUUGCCACGGCAAAAUACAUCAUAGGUAAGAAGACCGCCAUAGGUAAAUUUGCCAUGUCAACAUAGAUAGAUUGCCAUGUCAACAUAGGUAAAUUUGCCAUGGCAACUAAAAAAAGAUAAUUUUGCCAAUAUAUAAUUUACAGUAAAAAAGAAGGAAUUAGAAACUUUUGAUUCACUACAACAUCUAGAGAACAAAGUGAUUUAUGGCUAAUCGCAAAAAGCUAGAGUUGUAUGUACUGGUCACAUUGCAAGUUUACAAUUUUUUUUUGUGAUUUAGAUCAUGGCAAAGCUAGAGUUGCAUGUACUGCCCACAUGGCAAGUUUACAUAAACAAAUUGCCACGAUGUAUACCAAACUCAUAGCAGUUUCUGCCAUGGUAACAAAAAGCUAUAAAGAAGGACCAGAAAAAGCAGAAGUACACUGAUGAAUCAACAUGUUUCCUUAGCUCUGAACAGAAAAUGAGGACGCCGGCUUACUCGGGGAUGCAAUUUCUCGAACCUGAUGAAGCACCGGAAGAUGAGCGGGAUGAAGACGAACUCAGGGAAGAUACAACAGAGCUCCAGCACCUGCCCGUCGAUGCCGGUCCAUCACCCAAGCGCCUGCGCGGCCGCAUCCCGCGUCGCCGGGUAUGUUAGACCGACAUGCCCUCGCCCAAAACACGAGCUCAGCCGAGAGCUUGACCACCUCCAGCAGCACCAUGGGCAGCAGACCCACUGCCGACUGCCUCGUCGCCUCACUCAGCUUCCACUCUACCAGAAUCGCUUGGUGAGCUCCGGCCACGAACGCACAUAGCCGACACGGACAAACAAGCUCAUCGUCAUCGGGUGGAGCGCCGUGCAGUACUCCGCGAACUCAGGCGCGACGAGUCCGGCGGGCGGCCGCCAGCCGUCGCCUCACCGGUGAACUACCGCGGUCCAGUGGAUCCCGCGCCACCCUCGUCGAGAUCCUCGCAGCACCACGCCACAACGCCUGACGGGAAUCUCCUCUGCGGGCGACGAACCCCGGAAUCCUGGUGUCGAUGGCGUGCCGGAGGCAGGGCGCCAUAGUUCGAGAGAGAUAGACGUGGCCGCAUGGCCGCUGAUGACAUGGCGACCCAGUGUGCACCGCGAUUCGUGCGUUUGCAUCUAACACCGUCCAGCCAGUGGCACUUAACAUGUAAGGUACUUACUACUACUUCGCUCGAUCUAGGGUUUGAGUGUAAGAUUGAAUGGGAAUUUGAAUUUAGAUAGAGGAUUCCUCCCAGCCACCCACACCUCUAUCCAUCAUCACAAUACAGCUCGGCCGAAGCCAUCCAAUCCUAGCCAACUCAGAGAAGAAAGCGCCAAUGGCUAUAUAUCAUACACCCGCUCAGCGGGCCAAGUCUGGGCUUGCAAGCCACUAGGGAGGCCUCUUGGUCCGGUUCUAUCUGGGCCGAUUCUGGAUCACUAUAGACGUCUUUCUCUUGUCGGCAGCUGGCAUGCAAUGUACUAGCCCUUGAGCAAUGGUACACUUGCCGCUUUGACGCACUCGUUUCUGCAAUAUCUUGACAGGAACCUGCAAGUGAGCAGCAACGGACGGAAGCACUUGCUGGACGGUGCAGUUAGGGUGAAUAACUUGUUUAAGUUGUGAAACAUGGAAGACAGGGUGAAUUUUACUGCCUGGUGGAAGUGCUAGGCGAUAAGCCACUUCCUCAAUCUUCUCCAACACUUCAUACGACCCAAAAUACUUGAAUGCUAACUUGUGGUUACCACUGAAGACAGAACAUAGGCUGAAGCUUCAGAAAAACUUUAUCUCCCACUGCAAAAUGUCUCUCUGUACGAUGCUUGUCUGCUUGAUGUUUCAUGCGCUGUUGUGCUCUCAGCAAAUGUUGUCUGACAGAUUCGACCACCACCUGUCAUUCAUCCAACAACACCUGAAUAUCCACAGGAGCUACAGAAUCUGAUGCAGAUAUACCAAAAUAUCUUGGAGGGUGUCCAUAGAGCAAUUCAAAUGGAGAUUUCCCCACAGCUGAGUGCCAAUUAGUGUUAUACCAGAAUUCACACAUGGGAAGCCAUUUGCUCCAUUUGGUAGGGUGAGAACUGAUGAAGCUGCGAAGAUAUUCUUCCACUUGUUGGUUAACCCGCUCUGUUUGUCCAUCAGUGGUUGGAUGAUAGGCAGAACUCAUGUUGAGAUGAGCUCCAGUUCUUUUAACCUGUUGGGGAACGUAGUAAUUUCAAAAAAUUUCCUACGCACAUGCAAGAUCAUGGUGAUGACAUAGCAACGAGAGGGGAGAGUGUUGGCCACGUACCCUCGUAGACCGUAAGCGGAAGCGUUAUGACAACGCGGUUGAUGUAGUCGUACGUCUUCACGAUCCGACCGAUCCAAGUACCAAACGUACAACACCUCCGAGUUCAGCACACGUUCAGCUCGAUGACGAUCCCCGGGCUCCGAUCCAACAAAGCGUUGGGGAUGAGUUCCGUCAGCACGACGGCGUGGUGACGAUGAUGAUGUUCUACCGGCGCAGGCUUCGCCUAAACUCCGCGACGAUAUGACCGAGGUGGAAUAUGGUGGAGGGGGGCACCGCACAUGGCUAAGGAAUGAUCCGUAGAUCAACUUGUGUGUCAUGGGGUGCCCCCCUGCCCCCGUAUAUAAAGGAGCAAGGGGGGAGGAGGCCGGCCCUAGGAGGGGGCGCGCCAAGUGUGGAGUCCUACUAGGACUCCCUAGUCCUAGUAGGAUUCCACCUCCCUUGUUGGAGUAGGAGAAGGGGAAAGAGGGGGAGAGGAAGAAGGAAAGGGGGGAUGCGCCCCUUGUCCAAUUCGGACCAGAGAGGGGGCGCAGGCCUCCUUCCUUUUGGCCUCUCUCCUCUAUUCCCGUAUGGCCCAAUAAGGCCCAUAUACUCCCCGGCGAAUUCCCGUAACUCUCCGGUACUCCGAAAAAUACCCGAAUCACUCGGAACCUUUCCGAACUCCGAAUAUAGUCAUAAAAUAUAUCGAUCUUUACGUCUCGACCAUUUCGAGACUCCUCGUCAUGUCCCCGAUCUCAUCCGGUACUCCGAACUCCUUCGGUACAUCAAAACUCAUAAUAUAACUGUCAUCGAAACCUUAAGCGUGCGGUCCCUACGGGUUCGAGAACUAUGUAGACAUGACCUAGAACUAUUCUUGGUCAAUAACCAAUAGCGGAACCUGGAUGCCCAUAUUGGCUCCUACAUAUUCUACGAAGAUCUUUAUCGGUCAAACCGCAUAACAACAUACUUUGUUCCCUUUGUCAUCGGUAUGUUACUUGCCCGAGAUUCGAUCGUCGGUAUCCAAUACCUUGUUCAAUCUCGUUACCGGCAAGUCUCUUUACUCGUUACGUAAUGGAUCAUCCCGUAACUAACUCAUUAGCUACAUUGCUUGCAAGGCUUAUAGUGAUGUGCAUUACCGAGAGGGCCCAGAGAUACCUCUCCGACAAUCGGAGUGACAAAACCUAAUCUCGAAAUACGCCAACCCAACAUGUACCUUUGGAGACACCCGUAGUAUUCCUUUAUAAUCACCCAGUUAUGUUGUGACGUUUGGUAGCACCCAAAGUGUUCCUCCGGCAAACGGGAGUUGCAUAAUCUCAUAGUUACAGGAACAUGUAUAAGUCAUGAAGAAAGCAAUAGCAACAUACUAAACGAUCAAGUGCUAGGCUAACGGAAUGGGUCAUGUCAAUCACAUCAUUCUCCUAAUGAUGUGAUCCCGUUAAUCAAAUGACAACUCUUUUGUCCAUGGCUAGGAAACUUAACCAUCUUUGAUUCACGAGCUAGUCAAGUAGAGGCAUACUAGUGACACUAUGUUUGUCUAUGUAUUCACACAUGUAUUAUGUUUCCGGUUAAUACAAUUCUAGCAUGAAUAAUAAACAUUUAUCAUGAAAUAAGGAAAUAAAUAAUAACUUUAUUAUUGCCUCUAGGGCAUAUUUUCUUCAGUCUCCCACUUGCACUAGAGUCAAUAAUCUAGUUCACAUCGCCAUGUGAUUUAACACCAAUAUUCAUAUUUGUAUAUGAUUAACACCCAUAGUUCACAUCGUCAUGUGACCAACACCCAAGGGGUUUACUAGAGUCAAUAAUCUAGUUCACAUCGCUAUGUGAUUAACACCCAAAGAGUACUAAGGUGUGAUCAUGUUUUGCUCGUGAGAGAAGCUUAGUCAAUGGGUCUGUCACAUUCAGAGCCGUAUGUAUUUUGCAAAUAUUCUGUGUCCACAAUGCUCUGCACGGAGCUACUCUAGCUAAUUGCUCCCACUUUCAAUAUGUAUCCAGAUUGAGACUUAGAGUCAUCUGGAUUGGUGUAAAAGUUUGCAUCAUUGUAACUUUUUAUGAUGGGCUCUUUUAUCACCUCCAUAAUCGAGAAACAUCUCCUUAGUCCUCACUAAGGAUAUUCUUGACCGUUGUCCAGUGAUCUACUCUUAGAUUAAUAUUGUAUUCCUUUUGUCAAACUCAGAGCAAGGUAUACAAUAGGUCUGGUUCACAGCAUAGCAUACUUUAUAGAACCUAUGACUGAGGCAUGGGAAUGACUUUUCAUUCUCUUUCUAUUUUCUGCCAUGGUCGGGUCUUGAGUCUUACUCAACUUCACACCUUUGCAUCACAGGCAAGAACUCCUUCUUUGACUGUUCUAUUUUGAACUAUUUCAAAAAUUUAUCAAGGUAUGUACUCAUUGAAAAAACUUAUCAAGCGUCUUGAUCUAUCUCAAUAGAUUUUGAUGCUCAAUUUGUAAGUAGCUUUACUGAGGUCUUUAUUUUAAAGAACUCCUUUCAAAUACUCCUUUAUGCUUUGCAGAAUAAUUCUACAUUAUUUCCGAUCAACAAUAUGUCAUUCACAUAUACUUAUCAGAAAUGCUGUAGUGCUCCCACUCACUUUCUUGUAAAUACAUGCUUCACCAUAAGUCUAUACAAAACUAUAUGCUUUGAUCAACUUAUCAAAGCGUAUAUUCCAACUCUGAGAUACUUGCACCAGUCCAUAGAUGGAUCGCUGGAGUUUGCACAUUUUGUUAGCACCUUUAGGAUUGACAAAACCUUCUGGUUGCAUCAUAUACAACUCUUCUUUAAGAAAACCAUUAAGCAAUGCAGUUUUGACAUCCAUUUGCCAGAUUUCAUGAAAUGCGGUAAUUGCUAACAUGAUUCGGACAGACUUAAGGAUCGCUACAGUUGAGAAAAUCUCAUUGUAGUCAACACCUUGAACUUGUCAAAAACCUUUUUGCGAUAAGUCGAGCUUUGUAGAUAGUAACACUACUAUCAGCAUCUGUCUUCCUCUUGAAGAUCCAUUUAUACAAUAUGGCUUGCCGAUCAUCGGGCAACUCCACCAAAGUCCACACUUUGUUCUCAUACAUGGAUCCCAUCUCAGAUUUCAUGGCCUCAAGCCAUUUCGCGGAAUCCGGGCUCAUCAUCGCUUCCUCAUAGUUCAUAGGUUCAUCAUGGUCUAGUAACAUGACUUCCAGAACAGGAUUACCGUACCACUCUGGUGCGGACCGUACUCUGGAAGACCUACGAGGUUCUGUAGUAACUUGAUCUGAAGUUUCAUGAUCAUCAUCAUUAGCUUCCUCACUAAUUAGUGUAGGAAUCACUGGAACUGAUUUAUGUGAUGAACUACUUUUCAAUUCGGGAGAAGGAACAAAUUACCUUAUCAAGCUCUACUUUCCUCCCACUCACUUCUUUCGAGAGAAACUCCUUCUCUAGAAAGGAUCCAUUUUUUAGCAACGAACGUUUUGCCUUCAGAUCUGUGAUAGAAGGAUUACCCAACAGUUUCCUUUGGGUAUUCUAACACGCACUUCUCCAAUUUGGGUUUGAGCUUAUCAAGAUGAAACUUUUUCACAUAAGCAUCGCAGCCCCAAACUUUAAGAAACGACAACUUGGGUUUCUUGCUAAACCACAGUUCAUAUAGUGUCAUCUCAAUGGAUUUAGAUGGUGCCCUUUUAAUUGUGAAUGCAGAUGUCUCUAAUGCAUAACCCCAAAAUGAUAGUGGUAAAUCAGUAAGAUACAUCAUAGAUCGCACCAUAUCCAAUAAAGUGCGGUUACGACAUUUCGAUACACCAUAACGUUGUGGUGUUCCAGGUGGCGUGAGCUAUGAAACUAUUUCACAUUGUUUUAAUUGAAGACCAAACCUGUAACUCAAAUAUUCGUCUCCGCGAUCAGAUCGCAGAAACUUUAUUUUCUUGUUACGAUGAUUUUUCCACUUCACUCUGAAAUUCUUUGAACCUUUCAACUAUUUCAGACUUAUGUUUCAUCAAGUAGAUAUACCCAUAUCUGCUCAAAUCAUCUUGUGAAGGUCAGAAAAUAAUGAUACUUGCCACGAGCAUCAACACUCAUUGGAUCACAUACAUCGGUAUGUAUUACUUCCAAUAAGUUAGUACCUCGUUCCAUUGUUCCAGAGAACGGAGUUUUAGUCAUCUUGCCCAAAAGGCACGGUUCGCAAGCAUCAAAUGAUUCAUAACCAAGUGAUUCCGAAAAUCCAUCUUUAUGGAGUUUCUUCAUGCGCUUUACACCGAUAUGACCCAAACGGCAGUGCCACAAAUAAGUUGCACUAUCAUUAUUAACUUUGCCUCUUUUGGCAUCAAUAUUAUGAAUAUGUGUAUCAUCAUGAUCGAGAUCCAACAAACUAUUUUCAUUGGGUGUAUGACCAUUGAAGGUUUUAUUCAUGUAAACAGAACAACAAUUAUUCUCUGAUUUUAAAUGAAUAACCGUAUUGCAAUAAACAUGAUCAAAUCAUAUUCAUGCUCAACGCAAACGCCAAAUAACAUUUAUUUAGGUUUAACACUAAUCCUGAAAGUAUAGGGAGUGUGUGAUGAUGAUCAUAUCAAUCUUGGAACUAUUUCCAACACUCAUCAUCACUUCCCUUCAACUAGUCUCUGUUUAUUAUGUAACUCCUGUUUCGAGUUACUAAUCUUAGCAACUGAACAAGUAUCAAAUACUCAGGGGCUACUAUAAACACUAGUAAGGCACACAUCAAUAACUUGUAUAUCAAAUAUACCCUUGUUCACUUUGCCAUCCUUCUUAUCCACCAAAUAUUCAGGGCAUUUCCACUUCCAGUGACCAUUUCCUUUGCAGUGUAAGCACUCAGUUUCAGGCUUUGGUCCAGCUUUGGUCUUCUUCAUGGGAGUGACAACUUGUUUGCCAUUCUACUUGAAGUUUCCCUUUAUUUCCCUUUGCCCUUUUCUUGAAACUAGUGGUCUUUUCAAUCAUCAACACUUGAUGCUCUUUCUUAAUUUCUACCUUCAUCGAUUUCAACAUCACGAAGAGCUCGGGAAUCAUUUUCGUCAUCCCUUGCAUACUAUAGUUCAUCACGAAGUUCUAGUAACUUAGUGAUGGUGACUAGAGAAUUCUGUCAAUCACUAUCUUAUCUGGUUGGGGAUAUUACCACUAGGCGUAAACCGACCUACUUGGGCCGGGUUAACUUCAUUAGUGGUAUAAGCAGAUGAAGGCCCAAGGCCUGUAGUCGGGUUUAGAACCUGUAGCCGUAAACCGGCCUGAUGUAUAACUUGUAUUGUAAGUUAGGAAUAGAGAGAUACCAACCGGGAUACGAGUAUGAACCGGUUGGGACUCUAUGAACCGACGGGCGUCACCCGUGUAUAUAAGGGGACGACCCGGCGGCGGUUCAAAGAUAGACAACCACAACUCGAGCCUAGGCGAAGCUUGUUUGCUCCCUAGCCAUCGAGACCACAUCAAUUCCAUCACAACUAGACGUAGACUUUUACCUUCAUCGAAGGGGCCGAACUAGUAUAAAACCCUCGUGUCUUUGUGUCCGCUUUAACCCCUUCAAUUAAACUCGUAGCGAUGGCUCCACGACUAAGUCCUUUCACUAGGACAUCUGCCGUGACAAAUCCACGAUAGUUGGCGCCCACCGUGGGGCUAUCGCACGAUGGUUUGACGGUCUUGGAGGGCAAGCUCAAGGGACUCGAAGGCUAUGUUGUGGGCCGGAUGACCAAGAGUCGUCGUGGCAGGAUCUACAUCGACGACGCAGGAUGGGGUCCCGAGGCCGAUUCGAUCGAGUACGGGUACCGGCUCCCCUUUGGUGGCAUACACGUUUUCAUCGGCAAGAUCGGUGAGCCUGGGCCUGAGCCGGACAUCUGCACCAACCUCAUUGAGACGGCUCAGCGUGCGAGAUCUACCCAGGCUAAACCGGCCGUGAAGCGUGUCCUCGUUGGAGUCAUCCACGGAGGAGAGCGUGAGGACGAAUCAGAACACGGUAGCGAGACCGUCGUCUAUUCCGGUGACGAGUCCUCAACCGGAGAGACCGAAUCGCUAUACCAGUUGCAAGACGAUAUGGUCAGGGGUUGUUCCGAUGGCGACAGUAUUCCAGACCCCCCAAGCCAGGUCAACCGGGUUGGAAUAUUCAUGGCCGGCACACAGGCGGCGAAUCACUCUUCGACCGCCACAGCGAUGCUCUCCGGAUCAGCAGCGGCAGCGGCAGCAGGGGCAGGAGGCCUUGUGCGCCCGCCGGUUCAAGUUCUAUCUGAUCUGUUUGAUGCACUAGCCGCGCUUAUGGCAGAGGCCAAUCCGGCGGAUCAGGAGGCCCAUGAUGCAGAGAUUGCAAAGGUGAGAGAGCAGAUAGUACAAGCCAAAGCGGAUCUGGCAGCAGAAAAAGACAGGAUGGCUGCAGAGCGGGCCGCUUUGGACGCCCAGGCCUACAAACUCAUGCUUGAUCAGAACGCAUCACAGGAGGUUUUGAAGCGGAAGUAUAGAUCACGCCUGCCAUUAGGGUUUGACCCCCGAAAUCUCUUUCAGACUCCAGGAGCUGGACCCAGUAAUCCGCCGCAGCACCUGGAGACAAACCGGAUUGAGGCACCAGGACCAGGGGCGAUGGUCCAACCUCGCCUGAUGGAACCUCCUUAGCAGAACAUUGUGGUUCCUCCGCCGGUCCAGACGCCCCCAGGUCAUUAUUCUAAUCCUAUGGACAACCUUGUUGCAGCCGCCGCGCGAUUAGAGGCUAUCCCAGUCGAAGGGGACUCUCCGCAAGCGGUAGAGACGCGUCGGGUUAAGGAGCUUCUCCAGACCGCGCUGAUUCAGCAGGAAGCAUAUUCGUACAGCCGUGAUCGGAUUCACUCUACGCCCCGUCCAAGCCGGAGCUAUAGCAGGCGCAUGGAUGAACCGGCCAUAUCGAGCAAUGCGCGAGGCCGUGAAGCGGCCCGUGGCAAUAACCCGGCAGGUGGUGUCUGCGAUGCUCAGGAUGUGGUGGACCGGGCCCGGGCACGAAGGGAGGCCGAGUUAGCAGCACAGGAUGAUGCGGGUCAACUUACACCGGUUCGCCCUACCACCUUUGCCGGACCAGGAGUCGCAUCCGCUUUGGGAGUGCCUUGUUUAAUCCCCGCUUUACGCAAUGUACGCCUGCCCAAAGAUUUCAAGGGUCCGCGCAAGGUGCCGAAUUACACCGCUGAUUUAUCCCCCGAAGCGUGGGUAGAGAGCUAUGAGAUGGCCAUGGAGAUGCUAGACGUGGAUGGGACCGCGUGUGCAAAGUACUUCACCAUGAUGCUUGAAGGCACGACUCGUACUUGGUUAAAGAGCCUACCGCCCAAUUCUAUCAGCUCAUGGGCCCAGUUGCGGGCCCGGUUUAUCCAGAAUUUCAAGGAUACAUGUAAGCAGCCCAAGUCCAUAGUAGACCUGGCGGCUUGUGUCCAGGAGGAAGGAGAAUCAACGACCCAUUGGGUGCGCCGUGUUUCGGAAAUUUUGCACUCGUCUGACAGGAUUAAUGCUGACUCUGCGAUCUUAACCCUGGAAGGCAACUGCCGGUUUGAGCCUUUAAAAUUGAAAUUGGGACGCAUGAAGCGGUUCUGUAAUGACAUGGGAACCCUCAUGGCCUCUUUAGUGAAGUAUGCUGAUUCGGACAGUACCAAGGAUCCCGAGAUUGAUGAUGAUGAAGCAGGGAAGGGAAAGAAGAAUAGCAACUCCAAGGGGCAACAGUACAAACCGGCGGGUCAUGGAAACGGAGGCAAGCGCAAGGCGGAUGGCAGCAUGGACUUUGUGGCCAACACUAAUGCACAGGACAGGGGGCAGCGGCGCAGAGGUAAAGCGGCAAAUCGUAAUGGGGCUCCCAAUCCUAACGCAAGCCGUUUGAAUUAUUUGCUGAAUCAGCCUUGCCCAAAGCACGGGACGAAGGAGUCGCCGGCUAACCACCUUUGGAAGGAUUGUUAUAUUAUGCAGGAGUUUAAAAACUCUAAUGCCUUUCGGUAUGACCAUGGGUCAGGUGGCGGUUCAGGAUCCGGUUUCCAUGGGCCGGGUCAUGAUGGAGCCUCCGGUUCAGGUCUCAAUCAGGGCGGUCACAACAACUAGAAUAAUCAGCAGCAGCAGCAGCAGCAGUCGGGUUAUCAGAGCCAGCCAAAACAGUUGAACAAUGGGCAAUAUCAUAUUUUCACAACUAGCUUGGAUAAACGCGACCGAAAACUCCACAAGCGAGCGGUGAAUUCUGUUGAACCGGCCUUACUGCGUUACUUGCGCUGGUCUGAGCAGCCUAUCAUGUGGAGCAGAGAGGAUCACCCACCCCGGGUUGAUAAUCCGGGCCAGCUAGCAUUAGUGGUAGACCCUCAAGUGGGGGGUUACAAAUUCACCAAGGUACUCAUGGAUGGAGGGAGCAGUAUUAACAUACUAUACUAUGAGACAUUCCGCCGCAUGGGUCUAACAGACAAGGAUCUCAUACCGUCUAACACAGUGUUCCAUGGUGUGGUGCCUGGCAAAUCUGCAUAUCCUGUCGGUAAGAUAGCCCUGGAUGUGGCUUUUGGGGACGAGCACGACUCCCGGUCAGAAAAACUAACAUUUGAGGUGGUGAAGAUCCGGAGCCCGUAUCACGCCUUGUUUGGCCGGCCGGCUUAUGCCAAGUUCAUGGCGCGGCCUUGUUAUAUCUACCUACAGCUCAAGAUGCCGGGCUACAAGGGGACAAUAACGGUUCAUGGGAGCCGUAGGGUCGCUUUGGAAUGUGAGGAAGGUGAUGCGGCUUAUGCAGAGUCGGUCUGUGCCACGGAGGAGUUGAAGUACUAUAAGGACAAUGUUGAUCCGGCGGAUAUGACUCCUUUGAAGAAGCCAACUACAGAACAUGAUUCGGAUCUGAAGUUCAAUCGGCAGCAGAGACCAAGCUUGUUGACUUUGUGCCUGGCGAUUCGUCCAAACAGUUCACUGUCAGUGCCAAUCUGGAUCCCAAAUAGGAAAGCGCGCUCAUCGAGUUCAUCCAUGAGAAUCGGGACAUCUUUGCAUGGAAACCGUCCGACAUGCCAGGUGUACCGAGGGAACUCUCUGAGCACACUCUUAAUGUGGAUCCUAAGUAUAAACCGGUGAAACAAUUCCUCCGCCGGUUUAACGAAGAAAGGCGUAAAGCCAUUGGAGAGGAAGUGGCCAGGCUUUUAGGAGCUGGCUUUAUCAUUGAAGUGUUCCAUCCAGAGUGGCUUGCUAAUCCGGUGCUGGUUCUUAAGAAAAACGACACUUGGCGUAUGUGUGUGGAUUACACAGAUCUUAACAAGGCCUGUCCAGCGGAUCCUUUUGCCCUCCCCUGCAUUGACCAGAUCAUUGAUGCCACGGCGGGUUGUGAGCGUUUCAGUUUUUUGGAUGCAUACUCUGGAUAUCAUCAGAUCAAAAUGGCGGUUAAGGACCAGGAGAAGACAGCGUUUAUUACUCCCUUUGGAGCCUUCUGCUAUGUAUCUAUGCCCUUUGGGCUCAAGAGUGCCCAAGCCACCUAUCAACGGUGCGUACAGAAUUGCCUGCAUAAACAGAUCGGCCGCAAUGUGCACGCUUAUAUGGAUGAUAUUGUAGUGAAGUCAAGGCAGAAGGAGACGCUGGUAGAUGAUUUGAAGGAGACCUUUGACAACUUGCGAGUUUACAAGAUGAUGCUUAACCCGGCCAAAUGUGUCUUUGGUGUUCCGGCAGGCAAAUUACUGGGUUUCCUGGUGUCUAACAGAGGAAUUGAGGCUAAUCCGGAGUGUAUCAACGAUGUUCAGCGUUUGGCGGGCCGAAUCGCCGCACUGAGCCGGUUUAUCAGCCGCGUCGGAGAGAAGGCCAUCCCUUUGUACCAAAUGCUGAGGAAGACAGACAAUUUUGUCUGGAGUCCGGCUGCUGAUGAGGCAUUUGAGGACUUGAAGCGGCAAUUAGCCAAUCCGCCUGUUCUUGCAGCUCCGGUUGACAAGGAGCCACUAUUAUUAUAUGUAGCAGCCAAUGCUCGGGCAGUUAGCGUGGCUAUUGUGGUGGAACACCAAGAGGCAGGCAAGGAAUAUCUGGUUCAGCGACCGGUUUAUUAUAUCAGCGAGGUGCUUAUUGAAUCCAAGCAAAGGUAUCCGCAUUGGUAGAAGCUGGUCUAUGGUGUCUUCAUGGCCAGCCGGAAGUUGAAGCAGUAUUUUCAAGGGCACCCCAUCACAGUGGUCAGUUCAGCUCCCUUGGGUGAUAUCAUACAGAACCGGGAGGCGACUGGCCGGAUCGCCAAGUGGGCUAUAGAGCUUGGGCCACACGGACUGAAGUAUGUACCUCGGACGGCGGUGAAAUCUCAAGCACUUGUUGAUUUCAUCAAUGACUGGACGGAGUUACAAGCACCAGAGCCCGGAUCACACAUAUUGGACUAUUUAUUUUGAUGGAUCCAGGCAAUUGGAAGGCUCGGGGGCUGGAGUCGUAUUAACUUCCCCACGAGGUGAUAAGUUUUGUUAUGUUCUCCGCUUAAUGUUCCCUUGUACUAAUAAUGCAGCUGAGUACGAAGCCUUGCUCCAUGGUCUACGGAUGGCUAAAGAGAUGAAUUUAAGCCGGGUUAAGUGCUUCGGUGACUCGGACCUCGUGGCUCAACAUGUGUCUGGCACUUGGGAUUCUAAGGACCCGCUCAUGGCUGCAUAUCGUCGGGAAGUGGAUAAUAUUGCGGGUUGCUUCAAGGGUUAUCAAGUGGAUCAUGUGGACCGUCGGAAGAAUGAAGCGGCGGACGCUUUAAGCCGGUUGGGUUCUCAGUGCAAACCGGUCCCGCCUAAUGUCUUUCUGGACGUGUUGCACAACCCGUCAGUCCAGCUCCCAGGUGAAGCGGAUUUGGCUAUUCCUGAUCCGGAGGCUCAAUUGGUGGCAGCCCUGCAUAUUAUUCCGGAUUGGACAGUUCCUUAUCUUGCAUACAUGAACCGGGGGGAGUUACCAGAGGAUGAGAUUCUAGCCAGGCAGAUAGUCCGGCGAUCCAAGUCUAUGACGAUUCUCAAUGGUGAAUUGCAUCAUUGCAGUGUAUCAGGGGCGUUUCAACGUUGUGUUUCUCCUGAGGAAGGCUGUGAUAUCUUAAGAGAAAUCCAUGAAGGGGAUUGUGGACACCACGCCGGUUCAAAGUCUCUGGUGGCAAAGGCGUUUCGUCACGGGUUUUACUGGUUGACAGCGCAUGCUGAUGCGGAGGACUUGGUUAAACGGUGUGAUGGAUGUCAGAAAUUUUCAAGGCGUGCUCAUGUGCCGGCUCAAGAAUUGAGGAUGAUUCCAAUAACGUGGCCGUUUGCAACUUGGGGGGCUGGAUAUGGUCGGACCUUUUAAAAGAUCCAAGGAUAAGAAACCCCACCUUUUGGUGGCAGUUGACAAAUUUACCAAGUGGGUUGAAGCGGAGCCUGUCAGCAAGUGUGAUGCAUCAACAAUGGUGCAGUUCAUCAAAAAGGUGAUUUUCCGGUUUGGCUUUCCACACAGUAUCAUUACUGACAAUGGUACCAAUUUAUCCAAGGGUGCUAUGAAGGAGUUCUGUGAACGUGAGCACAUCCGACUUGACGUGUCGUCAGUGGCACACCCCCAGUCCAAUGGACAGGCAGAACAAGCUAAUCAAGAGAUCUUGCAAGGCAUCAAACCCCGGCUUAUGGUCCCAUUACAAAGGACACCAGGAUGUUGGGUUGAAGAGCUACCAUCUGUGCUAUGGAGUAUCAAUACUACGCCAAACCGGUCCACAGGAUACACACCAUUUUUCAUGGUCUAUGGAGCAGAGGCAGUUCUCCCUAGUGAUAUCCGGCACGAUUCACCUCGUGUGGCAGCUUAUGUUGAAGCGGACAACGAGACAACACGGCAAGACGCUUUGGACCUAUUGGACGAGGAGCGUGAUAUAGCGGCUGCCCGUUCGGCGAUUUACCAGCAAGAUCUUCGUCGUUAUCACAGUCGCCGGGUUAGAACCAGAACUUUUCAAGAAGGAGAUUUGGUGCUUCGACUCAUCCAAGACCAGACAGAUAUGCACAAGUUAUCCCCACCUUGGGAGGGACCUUUCGUGGUCAGCAAGAAUCUGCACAACGGGUCGUACUAUCUGAUUGAUAUUCGAGAGCAUCAAGACUCACGCACAUCAGAGGAGGAGACCAACAGGCCGUGGAACAUAGCUCAUCUUCGGCCUUACUACACUUGAACCAUCGGCUCUAUCUAUGUACAUAUCAUGACAGUGUAUAUAUUAUCUUUGAUAUAAUAAAACCGGAGCCUCAGCUAAAGCGGGGUCUCUGUCUUUCUUAUCAUGCGUGGUUACAUGGAGUAGCUCUAUUUUUAAAGCGGCCUCCGGUUUACCCCUUGACAUUUGCUUUUUUAUAUAUCACUAGGGGCCUUGGUCGUGUCCGAACCAACGCGACACCUUUUGAUAGGCGACAGCCACCAGAUCACUUGGGGACAUGGUCAAGUCUGAACCAGUCACGCCUCUUGGUCGGCCUAAGGCCACAAAAUCACUUGGGGGCUUGGUCGAACCCGAACCAUUGCCACGCCUCUUGAUCUGGCAUAUAUGCCACGAAUCAUUUGGGGACCUGGCUGACUUGAAUCAUUGUCACUCCUAUUGGGGGCUUGGUCCUGUCCGACCAUGGUAACACCAUCUGAUCAGCUCAGUAUAGCAUAUUUUUGCAAACGGUUUUUAUCAUUGCCUUUGCUUCCAUGUUAUUUUCAUGGCUUGUUUGUUCUUUGUUUUUGUUGGAUUUCUUUUAUGUCAACAAACACCUUUUUCCGGUUCAGCCGAUGGAUUUGAUUCCCCUUUAAUCCGGAGAAGUAUGCCCGGUUUACCUUUUCCUGUUAACAUCAUGGAGUAACAAGGGGGCUUGUAUUGAUUCCGUACGGUUUAUACGGGAGCUGUUUUCUCCCCCCUUAUUGACGGUAAUGGUUUAUAAAACCGCCGCUUCAAGCUUGGAUAAGCCAGCUUCAUGCCAAGACAUGGCAGGUAUUUUGUAUCACCUAUUUGUUAUAUUACUGAUACACAUAUCAAGAUCAUAAACCGGCUGGCGGUAUAACCGCCACCGAAGUUCAAAUUUUUCUGAUUGCAGGAAAUAUGAAUCGAGGUUUUUCGAACAAAAGCUUCAGUACUUAUGCACGAAGGCAUACUCAAGAUAAAAGUAUUAACUAUCCUAUUACAAGGCAACACGGUGCCCAAAUAAGAUCAUUGUUCUUUUGGAAAGAUGCCAAAGACAGCUAUCCAAACCGGCUUCCGGUUCAAGCCUGCUCCUCAUCAUCCGCCGCUUCAGCUUCCUCGUCUCUACCCAUUUGCUGGAAAUCAACAGUGGUCCAGUCGAUUCCCAUUAAAGCUUGGAAAACAGCCUCUUCAUGGAUCAGGGAAGACGGUUCAAUAUCAGGAGCGUAAGUGUGCUUACGGAUUGGAGGGAUCAGAUUCUCCGCUUCAAGAGUUGGGGCAGGCACUCGCUUGUUCUGGUCAUUGUAUUGUGCUCGAUAAUGCGUCAAGUCUGCCUCUUCAGCUAGCUGACAAGCCAGAGGGCGCACUGCACGGUUUAUUGCCCUUAAAUCCUCUUCGUUAAAUUCAGAGCCAUCUUCCUUCACGCUGGGAUAGCCUUGAGCUGCUUCCACAGGGUCAAAAUCUGGCACCCAUGCCUUGGCCCGGAUCAAGGCGUUAAUAGCGCCGGUUCGAGCAGCAGAUUUUUUCAGCUCCUCAAUCCGGGCCGGAAGCAUCGACAACCUGUUCAGAGUGUCCUGGAUUAAAGAAGGUGCUGGGUUGUUAUGAGAGGCUGUGGUGAUGAUCCGCUGGGCUCCGGUAUAUAAUUGUUCUACUAAGGUGUAGGCAGCCUUCAGUUUCUUCCGCACAUCAUUUCCUAAGUGCCCGAUGCGCGUGCCUACAACUAGAUAGGAACGGUCUCAAACCGGAUUUAUACUACAGAAAGGUUCAAGUUAUCACAGAAGUUAAAAUUAUCUUACCAAAGAUCGCAGCGGUCAUAGAGUGUAUUUGCCGCUUUACGGCCGUAAGUUCAUCCACCACCGGUUUAAGGGCAGCUUCAGCAUUUUUUGCUCUUUUGAUUAAAGCGGCCUUCUCAGUGGCCCAAUCAGCCCGCUCUUUCUUGAAGCUUUCCUUCAGCUGUUUAGUGGUGCUCAAGGCGCUGGUUAAUUCUUCCUUGGCCUUGUCUGCUUCAGCCUGUUGGGUUUUCAAGACCUCCUGCAAAUCGGCAAUCCGGUCCUCCUUGAUUCUCACCUCAGCCUGCAUACAGACGGUAUUUAGCUUUCAACAAGCGGUUCAAGAAAUUGAAGUAUCAACCACAUAACAAAGUUAUACGCCUGAUACUUGGGGGCUAAUGCACCUUCAAUUUUUAUAUAUAUUACUAGAUUGCAAAGUCCCAAGCUCAAUACAAGUAUUCAACUUGGCACUUGGGGGCUAAUGGCUAUUUUAUCAAAUUAUGUUCUAAGGACAGUUUUCUAUUGGAGCCCCGGUUUACUUAUGCUACGUUAAACUGGCCCUUGGGGGCUAUAUUGAUGGAUUUCAAAGUGUUGAGGAUCGUAUUCAAGUCCCGGUUUGACUAAAGGUUACAAACCAACCCUUGGGGGCUACGAGGAUUGACACAAUGGCAGAAAGUAAAGAAGUUACCUCAAAUUUAUCCCUCAUCAUCUUCACCAGACCAGCUUCAUAGUCACGGCUAGUAUAAAGCCGGUUUAAAUAGCCGGAAUGAAGAUCUUGGGCACUCAGAGCAGCAUAUGUUUCUAGUUCAACAUCCCAUUUUCCUUUGUUCGGAGUGGAAAAAUCCUCUUUUAUGGUAUGCUUGGUAAGGGUGACAGGAUUUCCAGGCUCAAAGCGGCCCACACCGGUAAUCACAACGUCAUCAUCUUUGGACUCGCCGGUUUGUGUUGGUGCGGCCGUUUUGUCAGCAGGACUGUGGGAUUUCUCAAUCCGGACAGAGCUGGCAGGCGGGUCAGCAGAGGCUGAAGUGUUAAUAGGCCUCUCUUCGGGAAUAGCAUCAUCUUGCAAAGGAGGAUCAUUGGGAAUAUCUUCAGCAACAAACUCUUCAAGAUCUGGUACUUUGUCAUGUUCUGGGGCUACAUCUUCUUCAACCGCUUUAUCCAGGCGGGCCUUCUUGCUUGGUUUCGGUUUGGCCCUGAAAGAAGAACAAGGAGUCAAGGAAAAGCAUAAGCCAUUACACAAUAUACUGGAAGCAUAUGUUCAGUUUAGCUUACCCAGCAACUAUUUUCAAAGGUGGUAGCUGAGUGGCCGACGAUUCACCAGAAGAUGAAUGAGAAGUGACCUGAUAAUCGGAGUCGGAUGGAUUAAGAGGUUGACGGAAGAAACCCGCUUUAGGAUUUAAAUCAAUAAAAAGGUCGGAGACCUCAGAGCGGCGUUUUUGAACCGGGCUGUUUGGUAAACCGGCAGAGGUAACUACCUGGCCACUGUGCCGGGUUGUGCGGCGAGCUUCAUGUUGCUGAGUCUUCAUAAGAAAUUUGGGAUCCAAGUAAGCAAGAGGAUGAGAAAAUUUAACUUUCCGGUUUGCCUGGCGAAAUUUUGGCAAAGGAAAGAUUUCUGAAUCGGAAGAGAGAAUAGUUACCUCAACGAAUCCCUCAUUGCUGGCUUCAGCGUCGUCCUGACAAGUAUCAUCAUCAAUAAGGCGUGUAAAAAGUAAGCCAAGUGAAUCAAGUUCUACCUCAAGAUCCGGGUUACCCACAUCAUCAUCAAUAGCUGGAUUAGAUGAAGCGGUGGUUUUUCUCUUGUGAGCUGGUUUCUUAAUAACCUUGGUCUUGGGCCGGGUUGGCCGCCUUGCCUUCUCCGUUUUAUCUUGUGAAAGUUUCUUGCUCCAAAACGGAUUAUCACCCUGGAUCAGUAGUAAUUAAACGUCAAACAAAUAAAGCAGUAACAGAUUCAACAAUAGAGCAACUAAAAUCUUACCGCUGGCGGUUUGUUGGUGGUGCAGUAAGGAAGUAGACCGGUUUGAGCACAGAGGUGCUCCGAUUCAUUCAACAUCUUCUUUACAGAAUCUGUGACUUCAUCGUCGGAGAGUUGGAUUUUAAUGUGUCGGAGUGGGUCAUCGACGCUACCAGUAUACUUGCACAUCAAACCGGGCGCCGGCUCAGAGGCAGUAUGCUCCAUGAUAUCCAGCAGCGUGCAAGGUCUAUUCCUGUUAAACCAUUGACCAUAAAGGCUCAGAGCUUGGACAGUUGCGGAGCAUAUUUAAUUCUCUCCUUGGCGCUUAGUCUUUGUGGAAAAGGGUGAGUGUUGCUGAGCCGUUCCAGACGGAAGCCAGGCAAGGGAUUUUCAUUCUCAGGGGAGGUAUCCUUGCAAUAAAACCAAGUUGCAUUCCACUCCUUGGGGUGAGUAUGGAGUUUGACAUGGGGAUAAGUGAUUUCUUUCCUCUUCUGAAUGGCCAUACCGCCCAAUUCAGUAUUGGGACCGUUGGUAAAUUCAGUACGACGGUUUAAAUGGAAGAGGUCUCUAAACAACUCGACCGAAGGCUCCUCUUGAAGGUAUACCUCAGAAAGUACUUGAAAAUGACAUAGAUUGGUGACAUAAUUGGGGCCAAUAUCCUGGGGACGGAGCUGAAAGUUGGCUAACACAUCCCGGUAAAAUUUUGAACCGGGCGGUUUGAAGCCCCGGGCCAAGUGAUCUGCGAAGACCACAACCUCUCCUUCCUGGGGUGUGGGAGGACAUUCAUCUCCAGGAACCCUCCAGUGGAUUGUAUCUUUACUGUCUAAAGAGCUGAUCAAGACUAGAUCGUCCAACUGUGAUUCUGUGACGCGAGAAGGAACCCAAUUGCACUCAUACACUUGUUUGGCCAUGGCGAGAUCUACAAGAAAUAGGUGAUCCGGUUCAAGAACACGCUGGAUAAAAGAAGGUGUUGAUCUAAACUACGAUAAACCGGAGGCAGUACCUAUAAACCGGUCUUCUACAAUACGGCGUCAUAUGGAUUCUGGCGGUUCAACCAGGGGACUAAUGAUAUAUACCGGUUUAGCAAUUUUUUCUAUGGUAAGUUAAACCGCCUGACCUAAGCAUCGGAAGCAAUUGAAGCUAUGGAUAACUAGGUAUGCAGAAACAAGUUUCACAAGAUCUUAUUACAGCUGCGGAUCUACAGCGAGCUCACAAAAACAGAAAAUAUUUCGAAGAGUAAGGCAGAAACAGAAGUGAACUAUUGAGCAGAUAUGUGCGGGAGAUCUAUGGGUUUAGAUGAGAAACUACAGGGGAUGCGUAGAGAUCACUACUAAACACAGCAUAAGUUCACGGAUUCAUUCAAGGUCAGAGAACAGAUAUGAGCGCGCGAUGAACACAGCAUGAACAUGGAACCCUAAGAACAGAUCUAGGUCAAAAAGAGGAGAAAGCUUACCGGGAACGGAGAAGAUGCGGAAAGAUGCCGCAAUGCUCUGGUACGUUCAGGUCGAUGCAGCGGCCCAAGACGAGGCAGAGGUCGACGGCGGUGGCGGAGCUCCAAGGCCAGCGACGCGAGGAAGACGAAGAAGAAGGGACGAAGGGAAAGGAAAAAAAUGACCCUUUGGUCUUAUUUAUAAGGCAACAGAGCUAGGUCAAGCGCGCGGAUCCAGGAGCUAUUGUUAAAAGAGGGCGUUAUAAAUGACAAAUUUCAUGAUGACGUCAUGCCGGUUUACAGCAACCAAAAAUGAUGACGACAUGGCGGUUUACCAAUUACCAGAAGAUGUCCAAGACACAAGAUUUUGUGAAGGAUUGACAUGAACCAGUUCAAAUCAAUCUGGGGCCUAAUGUUGGGGAUAUUACCACUAGGCGUAAACCGGCCUACUUGGGCCGGGUUAACUUCAUUAGUGGUAUAAGCAGAUGAAGGCCCAAGGCCUGUAGUCGGUUUAGAACCUGUAGCUGUAAACCGGCCUGAUGUAUAACUUGUAUUGUAAGUUAGGAAUAGAGAGAUACCAACCGGGAUACGAGUAUGAACCGGUUGGGACUCUAUGAACCGACGGGCGUCACCCGUGUAUAUAAGGGGACGACCGGCGGCGGUUCAAAGACAGACAACCACAACUCGAGCCUAGGCGAAGCUUGUUUGCUCCUUAGCCAUCGAGACCACAUCAAUUCCAUCACAACUAGACGUAGGCUUUUACCUUCAUCGAAGGGGCCGAACUAGUAUAAAACCCUCGUGUCUUUGUGUCCGCUUUAACCCCUUCAAGUAAACUCGUAGCGAUGGCUCCACGACCAAGUCCUUUCACUAGGACGUCUGCCGUGACAAAUCCACAACAUAUCUGGAAGAUUAACUCCCACUUGAUUCAAGCGAUUGAAGUACCCAGACAAUCUGAGCACAUGCUCACUAGUUGAGCGAUUCUCCUCCAUCUUUUAGCUAUAUAACUUGUUGGAGACUUCAUAUCUCUCAACUCGGGUAUUUGAUGGAAAUAUUAACUUCAACUCCUGGAACAUCUCAUAUGGUCCAUGACGUUCAAAACGUCUUUGAAGUCCCGAUUCUAAGCCGUUAAGCAUGGUGCACUAAACUAUCAAGUAGUCAUCAUAUUGAGCUAGCCAAACGUUCAUAACGUUUGUAUCUGCUCCUGCAAUAGGUCUGUCACCUAGCGGUGCAUUAAGGACAUAAUUCUUCUGUGCAGCAAUGAGGAUAAACCUCAGAUCACGGAUCCAAUCCGCAUCAUUGCUACUAACAUCUUUCAACAUGAUUUUCUCUAGGAACAUAUCAAAAUAAACAUAGGGAAGCAACAACGCGAGCUAUUGAUCUACAACAUAAUUUGCAAAAUACUACCAGGACUAAGUUCAUGAUAAAUUUAAGUUCAAUUAAUCAUAUUACUUAAGAACUCCCACUUAGAUAGACAUCCCUCUAAUCCUCUAAGUGAUUACGUGAUCCAUAUCAACUACACCAUGUCCGAUCGUCACGUGAGAUGGAGUAGUUUCAACGGUGAACAUCAAUAUGUUGAUCAUAUCUACUAUAUGAUUCAUUCUCGACCUUUUGGUCUCCGUGUUCCGAGGCCAUAUCUGUUAUAUGCUAGGCUCGUCAAGUUUAACCUGAGUAUUCCGCGUGUGCAACUGUUUUGCACCCGUUGUAUUUGAACGUAGAGCCUAUCACACCCGAUCAUCACGUGGUGUCUCAGCACGAAGAACUUUCGCAACGGUGCAUACUCAGGGAGAACACUUCUUGAUAAUUAGUGAGAGAUCAUCUUAAAAUGCUACUGUCAAUCAAAGCAAAAAUAAGAUGUAUAACAGAUAAACAUCAUAUGCAAUCAAAAUAUGUGACAUGAUAUGGCCAUGAUCAUCUUGCGCCUUUGUUCUCCAUCUCCAAAUUACUGUCAUGAUCUCUAUCGUCACUGGCACGACACCAUGAUAUUCAUCAUCUUGAUCUAUAUCAAUGUGUCGUCACAUGGUCGUCUCGCCAACUAUUGCUCUUGCAACUAUUGCUAUCGCAUAGCGAUAAAGUAAAGCAAUUAUUUGGCACUUGCAUCUUAUGCAACAAAGAGACAACCAUAGGGCUUCUGCCAGUUGCCGAUAACUUCAACAAAACAUGAUCAUCUCAUACAACAACUUAUAUCUCAUCACGUCUUGACCAUAUCACAUCACAACAUGCCCUGCAAAAACAAGUUAGACGUCCUCUACUUUGUUGUUGCAAGUUUUACGUGGCUGCUACGGGCUGAGCAAGAACCGUUCUUACCUACGCAUCAAAACCACAACGAUAGUUUGUCAAGUUGGUGCUGUUUUAACCUUCGCAAGGACCGGGCGUAGCCACACUCGGUUCAAAUAAAGUUAGAGAAACAGACACCCGCUAGUCACCUGUGUGCAAAGCACGGCGGUAAAACCAGUCUCGCGUAAGCGUACGCGUAAUGUCGGUCCAGGCCGCUUCAUCCAACAAUACCGCUGAACCAAAGUAUGACAUGCUGGUAAGCAGUAUGACUUGUAUCGCCCACAACUCACUUGUGUUCUACUCGUGCAUAUAACAUCAACGCACAAAACCUAGGCUCUGAUACCACUAUUGGGGAACGUAGUAAUUUCAAAAAUUUUCCUACGCACACGCAAGAUCAUGGUGAUGACAUAGCAACAAGAGGGGAGAGUGUUGUCCAUGUACCCUCGUAGACCAUAAGCGGAAGCGUUAUGACAACGCGGUUGAUGUAGUACGUCUUCACGAUCCGACCGAUCCAAGUACUGAACGUACGGCACCUCCGAGUUCAGCACACGUUCAGCUCGAUGACGAUCCCCGGGCUCCGAUCCAGCAAGGCGUCGGGGAUGAGUUCCGUCAGCACGAUGGUGUGGUGACGAUGAUGAUGUUCUACCGGCGCAGGGCUUCGCCGAAACUCCACGACGAUAUGACCGAGGUGGAAUAUGUUGGAGGGGGCCACCGCACACGGCUAAGGAACGAUCCGUAGAUCAACUUGUGUGUCAUGGGGUGCCCCCCUGCCCCCGUAUAUAAAGGAGCAAGGGGGAGGAGGCCGGCCCUAGGAGGGGGCGCGCCAAGUGUGGAGUCCUACUAGGAUUCCCUAGUCCUAGUAGGAUUCCACCUCCCUUGUUGGAGUAGGAGAAGGGGAAAGAGGUGGAGAGGAAGAAGGAAAGGGGGGCUGCACCCCUUGUCCAAUUCGGACCAUAGGGGGGGCGCAGGCCUCCUUCCUUUUGGCCUCUCUCCUCUAUUCCCGUAUGGCCCAAUAAGGCCCAUAUACUCCCCGGUGAAUUCCCGUAACUCUCCGGUACUCCGAAAAAUACCCGAAUCACUCGGAACCUUUCCGAACUCCGAAUAUAGUCGUCAAAUAUAUCGAUCUUUACGUCUCGACCAUUUCGAGACUCCUCGUCAUGUCCCCGAUCUCAUCUGGGACUCCGAACUCCUUCGGUACAUCAAAACUCAUAAACUCAUAAUAUAAUUGUCAUCGAAACCUUAAGCGUGCGGACCCUACGGGUUCGAGAACUAUGUAGACAUGACCUAGAACUAUUCUUGGUCAAUAACCAAUAGCGGAACCUGGAUGCCCAUAUUGGCUCCUACAUAUUCUACGAAGAUCUUUAUCGGUCAAACCGCAUAACAACAUACUUUGUUCCCUUUGUCAUCGGUAUGUUACUUGCCCGAGAUUCGAUCGUCGGUAUCCAAUACCUAGUUCAAUCUCGUUACCGGCAAGUCUCUUUACUCGUUACGUAAUGCACCAUUCCGUAACUAACUCAUUAGCUACAUUUCUUGCAAGGCUUAUAGUGAUGUGCAUUACCGAGAGGGCCCAGAGAUACCUCUCCGACAAUCGGAGUGACAAAACCUAAUCUCGAAAUACGCCAACCCAACAUGUACCUUUGGAGACACCUGUAGUACUCCUUUAUAAUCACCCAGUUACGUUGUGACAUUUGGUAGCACCCAAAGUGUUCCUCCGGCAAACGGGAGUUGCAUAAUCUCAUAGUUACAGGAACAUGUAUAAGUCAUGAAGAAAGCAAUAGCAACAUACUAAACGAUCAAGUGCUAGGCUAACGGAAUGGGUCAUGUCAAUCACAUCAUUCUCCUAAUGAUGUGAUCCCGUUAAUCAAAUGACAACUCUUUUGUCCAUGGCUAGGAAACUUAACCAUCUUUGAUUCACGAGCUAGUCAAGUAGAGGCAUACUAGUGACACUAUGUUUGUCUAUGUAUUCACACAUGUAUUAUGUUUCCGGUUAAUACAAUUCUAGCAUGAAUAAUAAACAUUUAUCAUGAAAUAAGGAAAUAAGUAAUAACUUUAUUAUUGCCUCUAGGGCAUAUUUCCUUCAUAACCAAUAUCUGCCAAAAAGAACUAGUGAAAACAGGAUCUCUGUCUGACACAAUAGUUUCUAGCAUUCCAUGAGGUUUGUACAUGUUAUCCAAGAAAAUUUCAGCCACUUUUUGAGCAGUGUAAGGAUGUUUGAUGGGCAUGAAAUGACCAUAUUUAGUGAAUUUGUCAAUAACUAGUAGAAUGCAGUCAUAUGAGAAGGAAGAAGGCAACCCUGUGAUAAAGUCCAUUGUAACAGUCUCCCAUGCUUGUUUAGGAACUGGUAAUGACGAAAGAAGUCCUGGAUAAUUAACUCUUUCUACUUUAGACUGCUGACAUACCAUACAAGACUGCACCUUCUGUCUGAUAAAAUGCUUCAUACCAACCCAGCGAAAUAGAGAGUGUAUUCUUCUGUAAGUGACAGGGAAUCCUGAACGCCCUCCUACUGGACUAUCAUGGAAUCCAGAGAAUAUUUUGGCAUGUAUGUCAGGAUGAUUACCAAUCCAGAUGCACCCUUUAUAUCUGAGUAUCCCCUGGAUUAACUGAUAUUUAGGUUUAGCAUUGGAAUCAACAACAAGUUGUUGCAAGAGUUCAAUUGCUUUAUCAUCAUGUUCAUAACUAGCAACAAUUUCCUCCAUCCAGACAGGUUGAGCUCUGGAUAUACUAAGUACUUGUGAGUUGGGUAGCCUUCUGGACAAGGCAUCAACAACUGAGUUUUCAAUCCCUUUCUUGUACACAAUCUGAUAAUUAAGUCCCGUAUGUUUUGUGAGAGCCUUUUGUUGCCAAACUGUGUGAAGUUUCUGGUUCUGCAAAUGAACCAAACUUUUCUGAUCAAUUCUAAUGGUAAACUGUUGCACAUGAAAAUAAGGUUUCCAUUGUUCAAUUGCAAGGAGAAUGGCCAUGUAUUCUUUCUCGUAGACAGAUAGAGCUCUGUUUUUUGGUCCAAGUGCUUUGCUGACAUAUGCCAGGGGAUGGCCUUCCUGCAUGAGCACAACCCCAAUUCCUUUUCCACAUGCAUCUGUUUCAAUGACACAGGGCUUCUCAAAAUUGGGGAGAGCUAAAACUGGUGCUUCUACAAGUGCUUUCUCAGGAUAGCAAAAGCUUGUUCUGUAACUGUGGUCCACACAAAGGGAACCCCUUUCUUAAGUAAUUCUGUCAAAGGCCUGGUAAUGAUGCCAUAGUGCUUAAUAAAUUUUCUGUAAUAUCCACUAAGCCCUAGAAAUCCUCUGACCUCCUUCACAUUCUGAGGAACUGCCCACUAUUGAACUAUCUGAAUUUUACUAGGGUCAAUAGCCACACCAGCAGCACUAAUGACAUGCCCUAGAUAAGCUACUUGCUGCUGAGCAAAAGCACAUUUGGACAACUUAACAUGCCAUUGAUCAGCCUGCAAAAUGGAAAGGACUUGUCUCACAUGAAGGACAUGCUCUUUAUAAGUUUUACUGAACACCAGUAUAUCAUCAAAGAACACCAGAAUGUUUUUCCUGUUCACUGGAAAUAAGGAAGUGUUCAUUCCUCCUUGAAAUGUGUUUGGCCCACCUGUAAGACCCAUAGCCAGUGAUAUGUCUCAAACGUAUCUACUUUUCCAAACACUUUUGCCAUGUUUUGGAUUCUAACUUGCAUGAUUUGAAUGAAACUAACCCGGACUGACGCUGUUUUCAGCAGAACUGCCAUGAUGUUGUUUUAUGCGUAGAAAACAAAAGUUCUCGGAACGACCUGAAAAUCCACGGAGACAAGUUUUGGAAAAUAUAAAAAAUACUGGCAAAAGAAUCAAGACUAGGGGGCCCACACUCUGUCCACGAGGGUGGGGGGCGUGCCCACCCCCUUGGGCGCGCCCCCUGUCUCGUGGCCCCCUGAGGCUCCACCGACCUCAACUCCAACUCCAUAUAUUCCGUUUCGUGGAGAAAAAAAAUCAGAGAGAAAGUUUCAUCGCGUUUUACGAUACGGAGCCGCCACCAAGCCCUAAUCUCUCUCGGGAGGGCUGAUCUGGAGUCUGUUCGGGGCUCCGGAGAGGGGGAUUCAUCGCCGUCGUCAUCAUCAACCAUCCUCCAUCACCAAUUUCAUGAUGCUCACCGCCGUGCGUGAAUAAUUCCAUCGUAGGCUUGCUGGACGGUGAUGGGUUGGAUGAGAUUUAUCAUGUAAUCAAGUUAGUUUUGAUAGGAUUUGAUCCCUAGUAUCCACUAUCUUCUGAGAUUGAUGUUGCUAUGACUUUGCUAUGCUUAAAGCUUGUCACUAGGGCCCGAGUGCCAUGAUUUCAGAUCUGAACCUAUUAUGUUUUCAUGAAAAUAUGUGUGUUCUUGAUCCUAUCUUGCAAGUCUAUAGUCACCUAUUAUGUGUUAUGAUCCGACAACCCCGAAGUGACAAUAAUCGGGAUACUUCUCGGUGAUGACCGUAGUUUGAGGAGUUCAUGUAUUCACUAUGUGUUAAUGCUUUGGUCUGGUUCUCUACUAAAAGGAGGCCUUAAUAUCCCUUAGUUUCUGCUAGGACCCCGCUACCACGGGAGGGUAGGACAAAAGAUGUCAUGCAAAUUCUUUUCCAUAAGCACGUAUGACUAUAUACGGAAUACAUGCCUACAUUACAUUGAUGAAUUGGAGCUAGUUCUAUGUCACCCUAUGUUAUAGCUAUUACAUGAGGAAUCGCAUCCGACAUAAUUAUCCAUCACUGAUCCAAUGCCUACGAGCUUUUCACAUCUUGUGCGUCGCUUAUUUACUUUUCUGUUGCUACUUUUACAACUACUACAAAACUAUUAUCUUUACUUUUGCCACUGUUACCUUUAUUAUUAUACUACUUUUGUCGGGGAGGCUGACCCACGAACACCUAUGGGACCGGCGGACCGAACCCCUUUCGGUCCGGCGGGGGGCGGAGAUCGCAUGAAGAGCAGAUCGAGGCAAAGCACACGAGCGGUUUACCCAGCUUCGGAGCUCUCCGGAGAGAUAAUACUCCUACUGCUGCAUGUCUGAGUGUAUUGAGUUUUUGCUCGGGAGCGCUGAGUGCUACAGUACACACUAGCUGCUAACGAGACCGAGCGUGAGUGUUUUCUGGCUUCGAACCCCCCUCUACGUUGCGUAUGGGCCUCCUUUUAUAUGCUCAAGGGGUCACCGAUAGGUGGCAACAUAGACAAGGGCAAAAAUGGAAAGGAAUUAUGGUUGGUACAACUACUUGUACAGUGUAUCAUACCUAACCCUGACGGCAGGGGACAAAGGCAUUAAAUGCCCGUCUGUGUUGCCCAAACAGUGCAAAAAGGGACCGUCAGGGACGCCACCGCUUGUCACGAUGGCAGUCUUGUCAGCGUCGCUUGCCACCUCGCACCGCUGGCUGCACAGCCUCUUGCCACGCGCACCUGGAAAGGUCUCAGGGCGACACGUUGGUGGAUGUGCUGGAGCGCGGGUAUAGAGUGGUAGCUUGCCGCGGCAAGCGCCUUUCCGCGGUCGUUGUCUUGUCGCGUCCGGAAGAUUGUCGCUCACCGGGCCUUGCCGGGACGCGUGGCGCGUUGCGGCAAGUUCCUUGAGGUGCCUUGGUUGGCCUUCCCGGCAAGCUCCUCUUGCCGGGGCCUUGUCUCCUUGGCUUGAAUACUUUGUUCUUGAAUGGCUCCAAUGGAACCACGGAGGACCUUGGCGGUCACCCGGCAAGCCUUGCCGCGGGGUGCUGCGACUGCCCGUGCACAAAUUCGGGAUACUAGGGUACCCCUACUCUAGUACGCCGACAGGAGCCGCCGGGCCUGGGCCACACACGGUGCCGAGCGCUGUUGGGCCAGGCCCAAAACAGGGCACGGGCACGCGCGGCCUGGGUUACGCCGUAUCUUACUCCGUAUCCACCGCGCCCUCCCCGAACGGCACGCGUUGAAUGCGGCGUCGUGGGAGAGAUCAUGGGUGGUUUCUUUAUUCGGAAAGAUGGAACCUCCGCCCCCUCCCUCUUUAUAAGCAGGGGAAACAGGGACAGUUCGCCCAUCUCGCCAGUUGCUGUUCCAAUCUCAGAAAACUCCGCCGCUCCCCCCUUCUUCUCAAAGCCGAAAGAGUGUAGCGCUUCGCCCCCCAUCGCCACCAGCACCACCAACGCCGUAGAUCUCCCCCACCACCUCCGCCAUGGCUCCGAAAGUCGGCAAGGGGAAGGGCGUGAAGUCGACCGAGGCGCAGCGGCUCGCGGCGCUGCGAAAGGAGCGGACGACCUUCCCCCCCAAGCUCGCUGCGAAGGAGCUGAGGGAGUACUACUACCUCUUCUGGUCGACGGAGACGCGAGCGCAUUCGCGCACGAAGGUACUCUCCGCCGCCGCUUCGGAACGGCCUCCGAAUGGAUAUCCCUUCUUCGCGUUGUUCUUCUACUGCGGGCUCUGUCCGCUUUUCUCUGAAUUUUUCUGCGACGUUAUGAACACCUACGGGUUCCACCUCCUUGACUUCACCCCCAAUGCCGUUCUGACCAUGGCAGUUUUCGCACAUCUCUGCGAAAACUUUAUCGGAGUCCAUCCAAAUGUAGCUCUUUUCCGCCACUUCUUUAUGCCCCGAGUUGAGAGAGGAGAGCCUUUAUCCGGUGGAAUCGCCUGGAUCUCGAGAGCUGGCAAGAAGGAGGCCUAUCUGGAGGGAGAGCUCUGCGGCAAGUGGGAGGAAUGGAGAGCAGACUGGUGCUGGAUCGUCGAGGAGAACCUGCAGCCAUUUACCGCCCAGCGCCAAGCCCCAAUAGUGCGCGGAAACGAUUGGAGCAGCGUGGCCCCAGAAGACGAUAGGCUGAAGAUUGCCGUCACCCGGAUCCCGCGCCUCAGGCUUGCCGGGCUCACUGUAGGCGCCGUUGGCGCAGAUUUUCUUCGCCGCCGCAUCGCCCCCCUGCAGGAGAGGAGGAGACCCGCCUGGGAAUUCGGGGGUGCGGCUGACAUCAUGAGGCUGCGCCCGGGCCACAACUUCAACUUCACUGUCCUGGAACUGGACGCGAUGCUCAAGGAAUUGUUCAAGCACGACCCUCAACAUCCCGAAUGGUUCAGGUUGCCGAAGGGUGUCGUUCCGCUGUGCAACAACUCCUCGCUCGAUCGCAUCCGUGCAAUGAUGCCGCUGUGCGAUUCGCAUGGAAUUGUCCCAACUUGGCAAGAGCCUGCAGACGAUGUCGUGCAGGAGUUCUUCGACGGCUUGGUAGAAGUGCUGGCCCGCUCUGAUGAGCAGAAAAGCCUCACCCUCGACACCACCGAUGCGGAGAUGCAGCGCAUCACCACCAGGGCAGAAGAGGCGGCGGCAGCCACUGCCGCGGGCGAGUUUGGAUUCACAGUGGAGGAGGCAGAGGCAGCAGAGGCGGCAAGCCUUGCCGAGCGAGAUGAGCUUGCUGGCGAGGGAGAACUUGCCGGUGAGGGAGAGCUUGCCGGGCCUGAAGUCGAGUCGGGCGAUCCCGCCGAGGGUGCGAGCGGCUCGUUGGAGACCAACUCCUCUUCCUCCUCGUCUUCAGACAGCCCGCCGCAAGCAGAGCCCCCAGCUCCACCAAGAAGGCGUCUCCGCAAGGCCGGGGACGUAGCGGGCCGGCAGACAAGUCAACAGCCGCCGCGCCGCGCGACAUGCUCUACCGCGACAAGCACUGUUGCCGCGGGGGCAUCUCACGCCGCUGCGGCAAGUGGAGCGGGGUCCUCCCGGACCACCGCUUCUACUCCUGCCGCUGCCCCCGCCAAGCGGUUAAGGGAACCCACUCCUCUGCCUCGUCGCGCCAAAGGUGGGCCGGACUUCGACCUCUCCGCGCUCAGCUCCGACGAGGAAGAAGAAGAGUAAGAUUCUUUGCUGUACUUGUAGUUCUUGAAUUCUUGCUGUUUUGUCUUGUAUCUGAUUUGCUUUACUCUGAACCCAUUCCUUUUCAGGACCCUGGCCCAGAGAGCGGUGAAGAGAGCCAAGGUCCCGGUGAUUGUCAUCAAGGACGAACCCACCGCGACAACGGGGGGUGUGUCCGAGACCAUCUUGCCGGACCCGGCAACUAUUCCCCAAAGCAGCCCCCAGCGCAGCCCCCAGUGUAAGUACAUGGUUUACUUCCCGCUGUUAGGCGCGCAUGGGUGUUCUUUCUUUGCUGACAUCUGACUAUUGGUUUGGGUAGGAGCAGAGCAGCCUCACCAGGAGCGCCCGGAAGCCGCCCCUGACAUGCCAUCUGCUUCGACUACACCGCCAAGGGAGGAUUCCCCGGCAAGGGAGCGUUCUCUGGCAAGGGAGAAGUCCCCGGCAAGGGAGAGUUCUUCGGCAAGGGACAGCACCAGCGACCCCCCGGUGGCGGAGACCACGACCAUGGAGCCCAGUACAGGUAAUCCUUUUGCUUGAAAACUUCCCUUGGGUUCUUCUUCUUCUGAUCUUCUUUUUGGAUAUUUGCUUGACUUUUCUCCCUCUUCCGGCCUUCAGAUCCACUUGUCACGGAGCCGAUGGAGACCGAGGUUGCCGGCAAGGAGAACGCGCGCGGCAAUACCGACAACGCCGCUGCCACCGAAGAAGCAGCUGACGCUGAUGGGCCCGCCGGCGAAGAGGCCGCCAAAGCUGCCGCCGCAGAAGCUGGCGAGGGGUCCGGCGAUCGCACUGACGGCCCCGAGGCCGCAGGAGCGCAAGGCGCUACGCCGACCGCCGAUCCCUCCGCCGCCGCCGCAGCGUCAGGCUCCGAAGAGCUCCAGCCCGGCGCUUAUUUGAAGGCCGGUGAGGGCGUCUUCAUCAAGCUCCCCUGGGCGUCAAGCUCCAGGGCGCCGGUCGAAGGAGAAACCUUUGAUGGAGAGGUGCUCGCCUCCGCUGGGCUGACGCUGGUUGACGCGCCGAGCAGCAGCAGCGACGAGCCCGAGGAGGAGCGGCUGCUGCGGAAGUUGUUGUCGCUCUACCGCGCUCGGCAGGCCAAGCUGGAGUCCUGAGAAGCGCUUGCCGCGAAGGCGGGAGUGGACAUCGAGAAGCACGCGGAGGAGCUCCAGGGUCGUAACCAGGAAGCUCUCCGGUCCCUGGCAGAGGAGCGGGAGCAACUCACCGAGGCGCGGAAAGCCUUCCUCUUCGAGAAGGCUGAAGCCGAAGAGCAACAGCGGCUUGUUGCCGAGGAGCUGUUUGCGCGGGAGGGCGAGUUGGAGCAGCGGAAAGUCAACCUUGACAGCCACGAGGAGGAGCUUGCUGCGCGCGAGCAAACAUUCGGCGGGGCUCUCAAGGAAGCAGAGGAUGCUGCCGCAGCUGCCGAGGCCGCCAAGAAGGAGCUGGAGACGAAGGUGGUGCAGCUGGAGGCCGAUCUCAAGACGAGCGGUGAAGAGCUUGCCACGCUCAAGCGUGAGCGCGAGAAGGACGCCUACACCCUUGGCGAGCUGCAAGGUCGUCUCGUCGAGAAGGGCAAGGAGCUUAGCGCCGCCAAGGACUCCAACGCAGAUCUUGAGUUGAAGCUGGCUACUUUGACCAAGACGCUGGACGGCGCCAGGGAGCGGGAGGUGGCCUUGAAGGAGCAGAUCAAGGCCGACGAGGCGCUGCUGGCGAGUGCCGUCGUCACCCAGAACACCUUCAGGGAGAAUGUGGAGCACUGGACGGAGGGUCUCGUGGAUGUUGCCGUAGCCAUUGACAGGGAGCUGGCGCAGCUGGGGAAGGAGGAUUUCGGGUAUUCCUCCGAUGAGAACCUCCAACCCAGCGUCAAGCUCACCUUGUUCUUCAAAGGCGUGGCGACGGCCCUCCAGCCACUCCGGGAGAGAAUCCCAAAGCAGCAGGCCGAUGAGUCACGCAUGAUCUGCGCAGGAGUUCUUCAAAAGGUGUUGGUGAAGGUGGCCUUCUGCAACCCAGGCCUCAACCUCACCAACGUCCUCAAGACCUUGCCUCCGGAAGCUGAUCUGGAAGCGCUCAAGACCCUUGUCGCACCCAUUGUGAACAAGGUGAGAGAGGUCAAGAGGGUUGAGGGCGAUCUCGUAGAUUAGGCCGCCCGUUUUCUCCUUUUCUUGUCGCUGCUAGUCAUGUUAUGAGAACAAUACGUUAGAGCUGCGACAAGCUAUCUUGUAAUAUAACUUUCUUUUGGGUAGCGAUUGCUAUGUUAUUUCCUUUACUUGAUUCCUUCCUUUGUAUGUUUUUGCCCUACGCUUUUAGGGAACUUGCCGGUGCAGGCACCUUAGCCACGAGCGCUGAGUGCGGGACGUCAGCAGCCUGCUGGCGGUGCCGCUACCGACAAGAAACCUUGUCGCAACUAGUCGCAGCUCACUUAAGUUGUUGAGCGGACUCGAAACAAAGUAAGGGCGCAACUAGCUACGAGUUGGUUCUUCCGCGCACAGGUUUUCCAUACAAAGCACGGUCCUUCGAGGAAGAUAACUUAAAAAAAA